rnacentral:lncRNA from 1 species
UUUUUUUUGGGUUCUAAAUGUAAUGAAAAUUCUCUGUGUUUGCAUGAAUGAUGUCCGGUUUAUAUGAAACCCGUCGUGUUUGCACGAAUUUCAUCCCGUUGGUUCAUAAAGUUGUUAAAAUAUAUGCGGACAACGUUGGAUGGUGGUCUUCCGCAUCCGCGUCUGCAGACUGAUCCCUGUCUGUGGAAGGAUACGGGAGAAAAUUUAUGGAUCGCCGAUGUGGAUGCCCUUAUACCCAUUAAAAAAUGCUCUUCAUUUCGGUAUGCAACAAUAUAUACGCAUGUCAUCAUGUGUAACUUGAAUUUAACGUUAUUGGUUGUUUCUUGGGUUUUCUGCGCGUAAACAACGAUAGUAUCCAUAAGAAAACCGACUUUGUUUCUUAUAACACACAAUACAGAAGCAGACACUCAUAUAUAAAUUCACACACACACACUCUCUUCUCUAUAAACGCGCACACACAUGUAUAACAUAUCUUAGACGCACCUCUAAGAGACUAGCUGACACAUCAUCUUGAGAUACAUGAAGUCACCACAUCAGUCUCCAUAGUCGACAACAACGUCUUCUUUCACUGAACGAAUGUUGCUGAAAAGACUAAAAUCAAUCCAGAAAAAUGCGAACACUAGUUCGAGUUCAGGACUUGAACCCUGAUGACCUGAUUCCACCACAAAGAAACUAAUCAUCUGAACUAAGCUCAGGUUCACACAUAUGGUUUUGUUGGUCGGGGUUAUUGUAGCUAGCGAUGGAAGUGAGAAUUGAGAGUUGGCGGCGAUGGAGAGCUGCCGAAAUGUGUAUGGAAGUUUAUAUUAGAUGGGUGAAUCAAUUUAUUUCUUCUUUGUGUGAGUCGCUAUUGGGUAUUGGCCCUUGGGCGCACGCACCGUCCUUUGGUAGACAGAUCAUUUCAGUUAGGUGGAUGGCCAGCGCCCCGUUUAAUGGAGGACUGGACGUGUCUGCUGGGCACUGGCUCUCAAAGUCUCAAUGGUCCAUAUAGUACUUGUUGCACCACGUGAUGCACGUACGCUCGAGAUGGAUACGGUUCGACUGUCCCGUCCCUUUGCCUAUGAAUUCAUAGGCGUGAAGAUAAUGUGGAACUCCACGCUAGAAAAAGGAAGAUAAUGUGGCGAGUAUUCCGCUUCUUCGGCCUACAUGGCGCAGUUUGAGGGCCAUCUCAGGAGCAACAUGAACAUGUCCGUUUGGAAAGCCUGGGCUCCUCCCAAGUGCAAGUUUUUUGCUUGGCUCGUUAUCCAAAAUCGUGUUUGGACUGCGGACAGGCUGUAGCGUCGGGGCUGGCCCAAUUGUGGGCUUUGCCCUUUAUGCAAGCAAGUUGCUGAAUCUGCAUCACACCUCCUAUUCCAAUGCAGAUUUUCCCAACGUGUUUGGGCUAAUGUGGCUUCAUGGAUCGGCAUAAACAGUGCUGUAGUUGCAGGCUGGCGUCACGAAAUUUCUGUAAAGGAAUGGUGGUUCAAGACUAUCCUAGAUAGGGCCCCCCCGAGGAAGGCUCUGGCCUCCAUGCUCAUGCUUGUUUCCUGGGAACUCUGGAAUGAGCGCAAUGCAAGAGUUUUUAGGAAUGCCGCUACCACGGUGAUCAUGAUCACUGCUAGGAUAAAGGAGGAGGCUCGUAUUUGGGCGCUUGCAGGCGCUAGGCACCUCUGUAAUGUAAUGCCGCGAGAGUAGACUUCUUUCCCCCGCCUGGCGGGUUCCUGUUAAAACUUCUAUCUUAAUCAAUGAAAAUGGCAAAUCUUUUGCCUUGCUUCCAAAAAAAAAUGAGACAACUCCAACUUUUUCCAUCUAUAAAUAGAGGCGAGCUAGGCAGCACAUUUGGCAUCACAUCUCUCUAUUACCCACUACUCUUCACCACGCAAAGUAGCUGCCGUUGCGAUGGCCUGCGCUCCAUCCACGAUGAAGGUGGCCGCCAUCUCCAUGCUGGUGAUCCUCUGCGCCGGAACACAGCUCACGGCCGUGCAUGGCCGCGGCCCAGCCCUCGACGUUGCGGAUGGCGGUGAGGACGACGUCGGCGCGGCCCUGCUGCGGCUCGUGAAGCCCGCGUCGGCGGCGCUGGACGAGCUGGCCCAGAGGCUGCGUCAGGGCUGGCUUCAGUGCAGUGAAUCGUGUCAGACUUGCAUGUUCGUCUGCGCAUGCCAGAACUGUGAGUGUGACGGCCCGCCAUCGGAGGAGAACGAUAAGUGUGAGCGGGAUUGCAUCCAGAGAAGGGGCUGCGAAUCAUUGUGAAGAAGACAUGAUAAUGCUGCUGCUGGUAUGUGUUCUUGUGUGUGCACCGUGUAUUCCAAGCAGCUACGUACGUACUAAGUUCCAAUAUGGUUGGUUGUGUAAUAAGCACCCGUGGCCCGGCCCUAGGCAGACAGGCGAACAUACGUGCAUGUGUGCGUUGUGGAGGCAUGGUGAUGGUACAGUGAGUCUCGUUUCAGUUGUCCCUGGUGUGCACGUAUUGUACGCGUCCCUUGAUAUGUAGAGGUUUUCCAUCAUGACACGAACGCCAUGACGGCCCUGGUUCUUCCUGGUCCUGUGCACGUAUUGUACGCGUCCCUUGAUAUGUAGAAGUUUCUUCCUCCCCGGCAGCACCACAACCGACGUCCAACACCACCAACAGCAGUCCGUGCUCCCGAACGCCCUCCGCCAGGCCGCGGGAGCCCACGGGCAUCGCCUUCCUCUCCUCUGAGCGCCCAACCGCACCGGGCAUCUGUCGCGGCGAUUCCACACAGUCCGAGCGCCCCAACGCCAGAGUGCGACCGGUGCCUCUGCGGUCGUCGGUGCCAAAUCUAGCUGCCAACCAAACUGUUGGAAAAAAAAACCAAACUGUUGGAAAAUUAGGCGAUUUAUUGAUGAUUAAUUUGGAAAUAUAAAUCAUGAUUAAAACAACAAUUACAAUGCAUUUGGCGAACAUACUAGUUGCACUAAACAUCAUGAACAACAUCAUCCCAAAUGUGGCGACAACCAUAAUUAGAGUCUUGACUAGAUCAUAGCGCACAUACGAUAGUUUGUAGAUGAAGUAAUUGUUGUUGUUGCAAAGGCGAUGUUGUUAACGUCGUUGUUGGUGAAGGCCGGUCGAUGCAUAUGUUGAUAACGACGGUGCGCAAUAACGCCUGACCUUGCAGGUAGACGACCCGUGAUAAAGAAUGCAAGCGGUCGCGCGAAGCGCUUGCCAAAAACAUAAUUCGUCUUCUCCCCGUGCAAGGAUCACAAUGGCAAGAGGUUCCCGAGACCUGCUCUCACGUUUGCCCGUGCACGCCGAUGUUUGGGAUGGAGAAAAGUAAAACACAAAAGAAAGUCAUGUUCUUGAAAGGCCACGAACCAGAUUUCGAUGAACCAUUCGCAUGCAUGUCGCUCGACCGUGCCCUUCGCUCUGGUCUGGCGAGGGGAGGCUAAAUUUCGUGUUUUGACCCUUUUCUGAAACCUAUUCAAGAUUUGACCCUAGUUUGAAAAAAAAUCGAGAUCUGACCCUUUUGCUACCGCCAGGGACCAUGGCGGUAGGGUAUAACAGCCUACCGCCAAGGUCCCUGGCGGAAGGGUUGCAUGACCUACCGCCAAAAACCUCCUAAGUAUUGAACACAGUGCGUGCUCGUGCCUACCGCCAAGCACCUUGGCGGUAGGUGUGUGCAGACUACCGCCAGCCCGGUUGGCGGUAGCGAUGUUUCCUACCGCCAAAGUCCCUGGCGAUAGGCUGUUAGACCCUACCGCCAUGGACUCUGGCGGUAGCAAAAGGGUCAGAUCUCGAAGAAAUUUCAAACUAGGGUCAAAUCUCGAAUAGGUUUCAGAAAAGGGUCAAAACACGAAAAUUUUCCGCGAGGGGAGACACAUGAUAUGUUUUCUUUCUCUCGACAUACCAAUCAUUUAGCGCAGGGAGACCCCACUACAUAACUUGGUAUCACAUACCACCUCCACUAGUGGUAUGAGACUAAAGGUUACAUAUCCACUCUUGCCAUUUAGUCAUGGGUUUUUGAGAUUUACUUAGGAAUUUCUAUAAAUGUACAUGGCCAAGUCCAUUAAUUUUAACAUUUCCGGACCAGAUCUUAAAUGUCCAUUUAGAGAUUUGCACGUUCUCACUACUUGUUUAGUAUGCUAGAGGAUUCCCCGCAUGUUGCAACGGGAAUUAAUAGCUUAAAAUUUAUUGAAAUACGACCAAGAACAUAUGAGAUCAUUAAACAUAUCAAUCAUUUGCUAUGAAUAACAAUGACUCCUUUAUAGUUUUUAUCUACUAUAGCUAAAUAGGAGCCCCCACCAUAUGAUUAAACAGAUAAUAGUGAUUUCAUCAUUGAAUGUUGAUGUGAACCGAGCAUGUGGUUUUUGAAUAGAAUCCACACUAUAUGAAGACAAUUAAAACUAUUGGUGGUAUAUAUUAUCAGGUUUUCUGAGAAUAAUACAUCUCUUAUAUCUUGUAGAACAUAACUUGCAGAAUAUUUACCAAAAGAAUCAUCAGUAAGAAAAAAGUAUUACGAAGAUAAUCAAAGCUAUUGAUUCCCUUGCAGACACCUUCAUUCAGUCUUCAAUGUUAUAAUAGUCUGCAACAUGUAUGGUUAGAGAAAGAAUUACAAUCUUCAGCAAUGUGUUGUAUAUUCACUAUUUUUGGGAAAAGAAGCUAGCCGGUCAUUUGGGCAAGCAGUAUGCUGGCAUGCCAUGGAAAAUUAAAAUGCUAAUGGAAAAUGAAUAUAAAUUAAAAUAUGGUAAUCACACUAUAGAGUUUUAUCUAUGAAAUCAUCAAAUGAGGGAGAAAGGCUCUCCGUUCUAGUCUUAAGCCAGAGUGAGUUGAAGCAACAUAUUAUGAGGGAAACAAUGGUAACUUAUUUUCAAUGGAAUUGCACCUUCUUUAAAAAAACAAUAAUCAGAGCCCUAUAGACUCCAGAAGUAAAUACCUCCCGAGCAACAGUAUUCAAUGGGACAAUGUGGCAGCGAGCAGCACAACAACAUUGCGGUCGGGAAAGACAGAAGACAGUUCGUGAGGCGUGUCGAGACGACGGUCAGCUAUCGCAGGCACCGGACGUCAGCCUUGCACCGGGCGCGUCUGUGGUGGAAGGAGCAGCGUCUUCCGUCGGGCAGAAGGCAUAGUAGGGAGCAACUACGAUGUGUCGCAGUCAGGUCAUUUGUCAGGCCAUGUUAUGAAUCCAAUGUCUAUCUGCACCUACACAGCGCACCUGCAACACAUUAGCAAGAUCCUCAGCCGUUGUUGUGGUUCUCAGCGGUGGUACCAUCACAGUCCUGUUAGGCUGUGAUUGGUAAAGACUAUAUUUUCAAACAGGACGAAGCCGAGGUAGAUGAAAAGUUCAGCAAUACACGGGGAGUUGGGGACCUUGUAACGCCCUCGAUGCGGCUAUAACCGCAUUGAAAGCAAUGUCGCAAGUGAGGUAAUCUUCGCAAACAACCCAUGUAAUACAAUAAGGGAAGAGAUACAUAGUUGGCUUACACUCGCCACGUCACACAAAUAUCAUAAAUAACAUUACAUUCGUCCAAAUACACUCAAGGUCCGACUACGGAACCAAAAUGAAGAUAAACCCCAAAUGCAACAUAGUCCCCGAUCGCCCCAACUGGGCACCACUACUGAUCAUCUGGGAAAGACACAUAGUAACGAUGAGAGUCUUCAUCGAACUCCCACUUGAGCUCGGUCAUAUCAUCUGGAGUGGUAUCAUCGGUCCCUGCAUCUGGUUUUGGAAGUAAUAUGUGAGUCACGGGGACUCAACAAUCUCACACCCUCACGGUCAAGACUAUUUAAGCUUAUAGGUAAGGUAAGGGUAUGAUGUGGAGUUGCAGCAAGCGACUAGCAUAUAUGGUGGCUAACAUACGCAAAUGAGAGCGACAAGAGAGGGCAAAAGCACGGUCGAACAACUAUGAUCAAGAAGUGAUCCUAGAACAACCUACGUCAAGCAUUACUCCAACACCGUGUUCACUUCCCGGACUCCGCCGAGAAGAUACCAUCAUGGUUACACACGCGGUUGGUGCAUUUUAAUUAAGAUAAGUUUCAGGUUAUCUACAACCGGACAUUACAAAUUCCCAUAUGCCCAUAACCAUGGGCACGGCUUUCGAAAGUUCAAAUCCCUGCAGGGGAGUCCCAACUUAGCCCAUCACAAGCUCUCACGGUCAACGAAGGAUAUUCCUUCUCCCAAGACAAUCCGAUCAGACUCGGCAUCCCGGUUACAAGACAUCUCGACAAUGGUAAAACUAAACCAACAAAGCCACCCGAAUGUGCCGAAAAAUCCCGAUAGGAGCUGCACAUAUCUCGUUCUCAGGGCACACCGGAUUGUCCAAGGUUCCGGUAGGCCAGCCCAGAGUUGCCCCUGGUGGCCACCGACAGCAGACAGGUUGGACCAACACUCAGAGGAGCAAUGGCCCGAGGGUUUAAAUAAAGAUGACCCUUGAGUCCGCGGAACCCAAGGGAAAAAGAGGCUAGGUGGCGAAUGGUAAAACCAAUGUUGGGCAUUGCUGGAGGAGUUUUAUUCAAGACGAACUGUCAAGGGGUUCCCAUUAUAACCCAACUGUGUAAGGAACGCAAAAUCCGGGAACAUAACACCGAUAUGAUGGAAAACUAGGGCGGCAAGAGUGGAACAAAACACCAGGCAUAAGGCCGAGCCUUCCACCCUUUACCAAGUAUAUAGGUGCAUUAAGAUAAACAAGAUAAUAUGGUGAUAUCCCAACAAUAAACAUGUUCCAACAAGGAACGAUCUCCAAUCUUCACCUGCAACUAGCAACACUAUAAGAGGGGCUGAGCAAAGUGGUAACAUAGCCAAACAACGGUUUGCUAGGACAAGGUGGGUUAGAGGUUUGACAUGGUAAUAUGGGAGGCAUGAUAAGCAAGUGGUAGGUAUGGUAGCAUAGGCAUAGCAAAAGAGCGAUCAAAGAUAGAAGUGAUUUCGAGGGUAUGGUCAUCUUGCCUGCAAAGUUCUCAGAGUUGUCUUGAUCCUCGUAAGCAUACUCAACGGGCUCCUCGUUCACGUACUCGUCUCUCGGCUCUACCCAACAAGAACAACAAGCAAAAGGAACACAAUCAACCACGUGCAAUGCUCAAGCAACAUGAUGCAAACAUGGUAUGAUAUGCGGGAUGCGUAUGUGAUGCAUAGGCAUGAUUUGGAAAGGAAUGAUUGAACCUAGACUCAACUUGGAAAUCCAAGAGUGCCACUGGAAAGAGGAGUUGAUUUCGGUCGAAAUCGAUAUAAAGAUCACCGAAAUCGGAUGCACGGUUUGGAAAUGGCAAGCAAAACAAAUAUGGCACCGGUCUGCGAUAAUCAGCACGAGACCAUCUAAAUGCAUCUAGAACAGCAUGCUACUGCAUCCAAACAUAGCAAAAAAAUACAUGGCAGGGGUCCACUCAUGAUGCUUGACAAAAGAUGAACACUGAGCUACGGCUAAUUCACUCAAUAGCAGGUUCAAAGAAGCAUGGCAAAAGUGCAAAAGAUAACAGGUUACAGACUUAGUGAAAUUAACAGCAAGUCAGGAAUUUAUCAUCAGGAAGCAAUGUUUAGAGCAUGAUAACUACAUGCUACAGGAACAUAUCAUGGCAAAGCAAGGCAUGGUAUGAAGCUACUCAAAGCAUAUAACAAAAGUCCCUUAGUGACCAUAAGCAAAAAGGGAUCAGAAAAUACAAUUGCAAGCAUGUGAACAUAGCAAAAACAUAAACAGAUUCAGACUUGGUGAAAAGCUGGAGCAGGGCAAAACAAAUAUCAAGUAGGCAUGUUUACGAGCUCGAUGCACUCACUACGAGGCAUUUCAUGACAAACUAAGCAUACUACCAGAAAAUAGACAUGGCAAGAACAACAACAUAGCAUGCAUGGAUUAACAACAACAAGCUCGGCAAAAUCGCUAAACAUGUUAACAAUCUGCCAGGAACAUUCUAUAGUAAAAGUAGAGCUCGAUAGACUCAAGCUAGGGUGCUCCAUAAUUGCAAACAAAGACAUGGAUGGAUAGAGCACAACAUUAUCUACAAAACAUCCUUACUGAUCAUGCUUAAAAGAGGCACGGAUCACUAAAAAACAACAUGAACAUAUGGCAUAAAAAUAAUGACAGGGCAAGGACUUAGUGAAAUUCUAAGUCCCUGAAAUCAGCAUCAUUGAGUAAGCUACUUUGCAUGCUUGUGCUAGUCACCAUAAAGAUCACAAAAAUACAUGACAUACACCCCUGUAAAGAUGACAUGGCAUUCUUCAAAACACAUGUAGAGCUCAGAAUCAUAGCAUGCACACAUUAAUCAUGGCAAAAGUGACAAAAGUGCAUUUGCUGAAACAGAUCUGCAACUAUCAUCACAUAGCCUUCUUCCAACAGUAUUUCGAGCAUUAAGAUGAGCUCAAAUGAAAAUGAUGCAAUGAGAUGAAAUGAUGUACUUGUCGAGACUAACAUUUUGAUAUGCUACACGCGCGAAUCGGAGCCACGAUGACAGAGUUAUGGCAUGUCAAAGUAUGCAAAAAGUAUCAGGAGGAGAGGGGAAAAGGUCAACUGGAUCUAGGGUUACUGUAGCUCCCGAUCGGAUCCGGCGACGGGCACUGUAGCUUCCGGGUUCGAGGACGCCAGAGGUUGGCCGGAACAGGGGCGCGGUGGCCGGCCUUAGAGCCACCGGAGCGAGGGAGGAUGGAUCCGGCGACGGCGGAGGAGUUGCGAGCGUCGGGCGGCGCUGGAGGCCGGCGUGGUGGCGCGAGCUCAGGGCGGUGGGCGAGCUCCCCGGCGAGCAGGCGGCGGAGCGCGGCAUUCCGGUGGAUCGGGGCGGCACGGNNNNNNNNNNNNNNNNNNNNNNNNNNNNNNNNNNNNNNNNNNNNNNNNNNNNNNNNNNNNNNNNNNNNNNNNNNNNNNNNNNNNNNNNNNNNNNNNNNNNNNNNNNNNNNNNNNNNNNNNNNNNNNNNNNNNNNNNNNNNNNNNNNNNNNNNNNNNNNNNNNNNNNNNNNNNNNNNNNNNNNNNNNNNNNNNNNNNNNNNNNNNNNNNNNNNNNNNNNNNNNNNNNNNNNNNNNNNNNNNNNNNNNNNNNNNNNNNNNNNNCCUGGGCCUCGCAGGCCGGCGGGGCUGAGGCGGCGAUGUGGUCACCCCCGGGACAGGAGGCGUCGUCUGAUUGGUCGGCGGCAGUGGGCGGACACGUCCGAUGCCCGGAUUUUUGUCCGGCGACGGCGGGUGGAGUUUCUCUAGAGUUAGGGGGAGGAGACCCGAGAUUUUUGUGGAGGGACAUAUUUAUAGAGGUAGAGGGAGCUAGGAAGCUCCAAAUGAGGUGCGGUUUGCGGCCACACGAUCGUGACCGAACGAUCUAGAUGAUGGAGGAGGUUUAGGUGGGUUUUGGGCCACUUUGGAAGGGUGUUGGGCUGCAACACACACGAGGCCUUUUCGGUCCCUCGGUUAACCGUUGGAGUAUCAAACGAAGUCCAAAUGGCACGAAACUUAACAGGCGGUCUACCGAUAGUAAACCAAGGCCGCAUGACAAGUCUCGGUCCAAUCCGAAAACGUUUAGUACCCACACAUGAAAAGAGGUAGAAAGGGACACCGGAGGACAUAGGAGCGCUGGAAUGCAAAACGGACAAUGGGGAAAAUGCUCGGAUGCAUGAGACGAACACGUGUGCAAAUGCAAUGCACAUGAUGACAUGAUAUGAGAUGCAUGACAAAGACAAAACACACGGAGAAAAAAACCCGACAAUGAGGAAAUAAAAGUAACUUAGUGCCGAAAAUGGCAAGAGUUGGAAUAUAAAUAAGGUAAAUUACAUCCGGGGUGUUACAACACUCCACCACUACGAAAGGAUCUCGCCCCGAGAUCUAGGACUGGAAAAACUCCGGGUACUCAGAACGGAGGUGAUCCUCGCGUUCCCAGGUGGCUUCACGGUCAGAAUGAUGUGACCACUUGACUUUGAGGAAUUUGAUAGACUUGUUGCGAGUCUUGCGCUCAGUUUCUUCAAGAAUAGCAACAGGGUGAUCAUGAUAAGACAUGUCUUCUUGGAGAUCAAUGUCUUCGAAGUUGACAGUGCGGUCAGGAGUCUUGAAACACUUGCAGAGCUGAGAGACAUGAAACACGUCGUGCACGUUUGCAAAGUUGGAGGGAAACUCAAGUUGGUAGGCGAGAUCGCCUCUCUUGCUGACGAUCUUGAAAGGACCCACGUAUCUAGGGGCAAGCUUCCCUUUGAUACCGAAGCGACGAGUACCUUUCAUUGGAGAGACGCGGAGGUAGACAUGGUCUCCGAUCUCGAAAUCCAAGUUACGAUGCUUACUAUCAUAGUAACUCUUCUGGCGCGAUUGCGCGGUUUUGAGAUUAUCACGAAUGACUUUGCACAUCUCUUCUGCCUCUAUGAUCAAGUCAUUUCCAAGAAGUUGACGUUCACCAGUCUCUGACCAGUUAAGAGGAGUACGACACUUCCUGCCAUAGAGAAUUUCAAAUGGGGCCUUGCCCGAACUCGCUUGGAAGCUGUUGUUGUAGGAGAACUCGUCAUAUGGAAGACAAUCUUCCCACUUCAUGCCGAAAGAGAUGACGCAAGCCCUGAGCAUAUCUUCAAGAAUCUGAUUUACUCGCUCGACUUGGCCACUAGUUUGAGGAUGAAAAGAUGUGCUGAAGUGAAUGUUGGUGCCCAUGGCCUUUUGAAAAGAAUCCCAAAACUUGGGGACCUCGUCUCACCUGAUUAAUCUGCAACACUGCACAAAUUCGUGGAAUACUAUUCAUCAUGAUUUCUUCGCAAGUUCCCUCCAACCGCGUUUUGGAUAUGCUUCGAUUCCCGCUUGGACACAGGGGUUGCCACCACCUAGCCAGUGUUUGGUCAUCCAGAACUAUAGAUCCAUGUUGGUCUCUUUGUCAUCCUCCUCCCGAGCCUCUAAAGAUCCAUGACAGUGGCAUUGUUAUUCCUGACGCUGAUGGAGUGAGGCGGUGUUGGAAAUAUGCCCUAGAGGCAAUAAUAAAAUGGUUAUUAUUAUAUUUCCUUGUUCAUGAUAAUUGUCUAUUGUUCAUGCUAUAAUUGUGUUAUUCGGAAAUCGUAAUACAUGUGUGAAUACAUAGACCACAACACGUCCCUAGUGAGCCCCUAGUUGACUAGCUUGUUGAUCAAAAGAUAGUCAUGGUUUCCUGACUAUGGACAUUGGAUGUCAUUGAUAAUGGGAUCACAUCCUUAGGAGAAUGAUGUGAUGGACAAGACCCAAUCCUAAGCAUAGCUCAAAGAUCGUGUAGUUCGUUUGCUAGAGCUUUUCCGAAUGUCAAGUAUCAUUUCCUUAGACCAUGAGAAUGUGCAACUCUCAGAUACCGUAGGAGUGCUUUGGGUGUGCCAAACGUCACAACAUAACUGGGUGACUAUAAAGGUGCACUACGGGUAUCUCCGAAAGUGUCUGUUGGGUUGGCACGAAUCGAGACUGGGAUUUGUCACUCCGUAUGACAGAGAGGUAUCUCUCGGCCCACUCGAUAAUGCAUCAUCAUAAUGAGCUCAAUGUGACCAAGUGGUUGAUCACGGGAUCAUGCAUUACGGUACGAGUAAAGUGACUUGCUGGUAACGAGAUUGAACGAGGUAUUGGGAUACCGACGAUCGAGUCUCGGGCAAGUAACGCAUCGAUUGAAAAAGGGAAUUGUAUACGGGAUUGAUUGAAUCCUAGACAUCGUGGUUCAUCCGAUGAGAUCAUCGAGGAGCAUGUGGGAGCCAACAUGGGUAUCCAGAUCACGCUGUUGGUUAUUGACCGGAGAGUCGUCUCGGUCAUGUCUGCGUGUCUCCCGAACCCGUAGGGUCUACACACUUAAGGUUCGGUAACGCUAGGGUUGUUGAGAUAUUAGUAUACGGUAACCCGAAAGUUUUUCGGAGUCCCGGAUGAGAUCCCGGACGUCACGAGGAGUUCCGGAAUGGUCCGGAGGUGCAGAUUUAUAUAUAGGAAGUCAAGUUUCGGCCAUCGGGAAAGUUUCGGGGGUAAUCGGUAUUGUACUGGGACCACCGAAAGGGUCCCGGGGGUCCACCGGGUGGGGCCACCUAUCCCGGAGGGCCCCAUGGGCUGAAGUGGGAGGGGAACCAGUCCCUAGUGGGCUGGUGCACCCCCCUUGGGCCUCCCCCUAUGCCUAGGGUUGGAAACCCUAGGGGUGGGGGGCGCCCCACUUGGCUUGGGGGGCAAGCCACCCCCCUUGGCUGCCGCCCCCCUUGGAGAUCCCAUCUCCUAGGGCCGGCGCCCCCCCUAGGGGUCCUAUAUAUAGUGGGGGGAGGAAAGCCGCACCCUAGCCCCUGGCGCCUCCCUCUCCCUCCCGUGACACCUCUCCCUCUCGCUGAGUUUGGCGAAGCCCUGCCGAGAUCGCCGUUGCUUCCACCACCACGCCGUCGUGCUGUUGGAUCUUCAUCAACCUCUCCUUUCCCCUUGCUGGAUCAAGUUGGAGGAGACGUCUUCCCAACCAUACGUGUGUUGAACGCAGAUGUGUCGUCCGUUCGGCACUAGGUCAUCGGUGAUUUGGAUCACGACGAGUACGCCUCCAUCAACCCCGUUCUCUUGAACGCUUCCGCUCGCGAUCUACAAGGGUAUGUAGAUGCACUCCCUUCUCCCUCGUUUCUAGAUGACUCCAUAGAUUGAUCUUGGUGAUGCGUAGAAAAUUUUAAAAUUCUGCUACGUUCCCCAACAGUGGCAUCAUGAGCUAGGUCUAUGCGUAGUUUCUAUGCACGAGUAGAAUACAAAGCAGUUGUGGGCGUCGAUAUUGUCAAUUUACUUGUCGUUACUAGUCUUAUCUUGAUUCAGCGGCAUCGUGGGAUGAAGCGGCCCGGACCGACCUUACACGUACGCUUACGUGAGACUGGUUCCACCGACUGACAUGCACUAGUUGCAUAAGGUGGCUAGCGGGUGUCUGUCUCUCCCACUUUAGUCGGAUCGGAUUCGAUGAAAAGGGUCCUUAUGAAGGGUAAAUAGAAAUUGGCAUAUCACGUUGUGGUUUUGGCGUAGGUAAGAAAUGUUCUUGCUAGAAACCUUUAGCAACCACGUAAAAACUUGCAACAACAAUUAGAGGACGUCUAACUUGUUUUUGCAGCAUGUGUCGUGUGAUGUGAUAUGGCCAAAAGGAUGUGAUGAAUGAUAUAUGUGAUGUAUGAGAUUGAUCAUGUUCUUGUAAUAGGAAUCACGACUUGCAUGUCGAUGAGUAUGACAACCGGCAGGAGCCAUAGGAGUUGUCUUAAUUUAUUUAUGACCUGCGUGUCAACAUAAACAUCAUGUAAUUACUUUACUUUAUUGCUAAAGCGUUAGCCAUAGUAGUAGAAGUAAUAGAUGAUGAGACAACUUCAAGAAGACACGAUGAUGGAGAUCAUGGUGUCAUGCCGAUGACAACGAUGAUCAUGGAACCCCGAAGAUGGAGAUCAAAAGGAGCAAAUGAUAUUGGCCAUAUCAUGUCACUAUUUGAUUGUAUGUGAUGUUUAUCAUGUUCUACAUCUUAUUUGCUUAGAACGACGGUAGCUUAAAUAAGAUGACCCCUCGUAAUAAUUUCAAGAAAGUGUUCCCCCUAAAUGUGCACCGUUGCGAAGGUUUGUUGUUUCGAAGCACCACGUGAUGAUCGGGUGUGAUAGAUUCUAACGUUCAAAUACAACGGGUGUAAGCCAGAUUUACACACGCAAUACACUUAGGUUGACUUGACGAGCCUAGCAUGUACAGACAUGGCCUCGGAACACAGAAGACCGAAAGGUCGAGCAUGAGUCAUAUAGAAGAUACAAUCAACAUGAAGAUGUUCACCGAUGUUGACUAGUCCAUCUCACGUGAUGAUCGGACACGGCCUAGUUGACUCGGAUCAUCUUUCACUUAGAUGACUAGAGGGAUGUCUAUCUGAGUGGGAGUUCAUUGAAUAAUUUGAUUAGAUGAACUUAAUUAUCAUGAACUUAGUCUAAAAUCUUUACAUUAUGUCUUGUAGAUCAAAUGGCCCACGCUAAUGUUGCCCUCAACUUCAACGCGUUCCUAGAGAAAACCAAGCUGAAAGAUGAUGGCAGCAACUAUACGGACUGGGUCCGGAACCUGAGGAUCAUCCUCAUAGCUGCCAAGAAAGAUUAUGUCCUAGAAGCACCGCUAGGUGACGCACCCAUCCCAAAGAACCAAGACGUUAUGAACGCUUGGCAGUCACGUGCUGAUGAUUACUCCCUCGUUCAGUGCGGCAUGCUUUACAGCUUAGAACCGGGGCUCCAAAAGCGUUUUGAGCAACACGGAGCAUAUGAGAUGUUCGAAGAGCUAAAAAUGGUUUUCCAAGCUCAUGCCCGGGUUCUGUCAGUUGUAAGAUGGAGGAAAAUAGUUCUGUCAGUGAGCACAUACUCAAAAUGUCUGGGUUGCAUAACCGCUUGACUCAGCUGGGAGUUAAUCUCCCGGAUGACGUGGUCAUUGACAGAAUCCUUCAGUCGCUUCCACCGAGCUAUAAGAGCUUUGUGAUGAACUUCAAUAUGCAGGGGAUGGAAAAGACCAUUCCUGAGGUAUAUUCAAUGCUGAAAUCAGCGGAGGUGGAAAUCAAAAAGGAACAUCAAGUGUUGAUGGUGAAUAAAACCACUAAGUUCAAGAAAGGCAAGGGUAAAAAGAACUUCAAGAAGGACGGCAAGGGAGUUGCCGUGCCCGGCAAGCAAGCUGGCAGGAAGAAGUCAAAGAAUGGACCCAAGCUUGAGACUGAGUGUUUUUAUUGCAAGGGAAGUGGUCACUGGAAGUGGAACUGCCCCAAAUACUUAGCAGACAAGAAGGCCGGCAACACUAAAGGUAUAUGUGAUAUACAUGUAAUUGAUGUGUACCUUACCAGUACUCGUAGUAGCUCCUGGGUAUUUGAUAUCGGUGUCGUUGCUCACAUUUGCAAUUCAAAGCAGGAGCUGCGGAAUAAGCAGAGACUGGCGAAGGACGAGGUGACGAUGCGCGUCAGGAAUGGUUCCAAGGUCGAUGUGAUCGCCGUCGGCACGCUGCCUCUACAUUUACCUACGGGAUUAGUUUUAAACCUCAAUAAUUGUUAUUUAGUGCCAGCUUUGAGCAUGAACAUUGUAUCAGGAUCUCGUUUAAUUCAAGAUGGCUACUCAUUUAAAUCCGAGAAUAAUGGUUGUUCUAUUUAUAUGAGAGAUAUGUUUUAUGGUCAUGCCCCGCUGGUGAAUGGUUUAUUCUUAAUGAAUCUCGAGUGUAAUGUUACACAUAUUCAUAGUGUGAAUACCAAAAGAUGUAAGGUUGAUAAUGAUAGUCCCACAUAUUUGUGGCACUGCCGCCUUGGUCACAUAGGUGUCAAACGCAUGAAGAAGCUCCAUGCAGAUGGACUUUUGGAGUCUCUUGAUUACGAAUCAUUUGACACGUGCGAACCAUGCCUCAUGGGUAAAAUGACCAAGACUCCGUUCUCACGAACAAUGGAGCGAGCAACCAACUUAUUGGAAAUCAUACAUACUGAUGUAUGCGGUCCAAUGAGUGUUGAGGCUCGCGGUGGCUAUCAUUAUGUUCUCACCCUCACAGAUGACUUGAGUAGAUAUGGGUAUGUCUACUUAAUGAAACACAAGUCUGAGAUCUUUGAAAAGUUCAAGGAAUUUUAGAGUGAGGUUGAGAAUCAACGUGACAGAAAAAUCAAGUUCUUGCGAUCAGAUCGUGGGGGAGAAUACUUGAGUCACGAAUUUGGCACACACUUAAGGAAAUGUGGAAUAGUUUUACAACUCACGCCACCUGGAACACCUCAGCGUAAUGGUGUGUCCGAACGUCGUAAUCGCACUCUAUUGGAUAUGGUGUGAUCUAUGAUGUCUCUUACCGAUCUACCGCUAUCAUUUUGGGGCUGUGCUUUAGAGACUGCCACAUUCACUUUAAAUAGGGCUCCGUCGAAAUCCGUUGAGACGACACCGUAUGAAUUAUGGUUUGGGAAGAAACCUAAGCUGUCGUUUCUAAAAGUUUGGGGAUGUGAUGCUUAUGUCAAGAAACUUCAACCUGAAAAGCUCGAACCCAAGUCGGAAAAAUGCGUCUUCAUAGGAUACCCUAAAGAAACUAUUGGGUAUACCUUCUACCUCAGAUCCGAAGGCAAGAUCUUUGUUGCCAAGAAUGGAUCCUUUCUAGAGAAAGAGUUUCUCUCGAAAGAAGUAAGUGGGAGGAAAGUAGAACUAGAUGAAGUGUUGCCUCUUGAACCGGAGAGUGGCGCAGCUCAAGAAAAUGUUCCUGAGGUGCCUGCACCGACUAGAGAGGAAGUUAAUGAUGAUGAUCAUGAAACUUCAGAUCAAGUUGCUACUGAACUUCGUAGGUCCACAAGGACACGUUCCGCACGAGAGUGGUACGGCAACCCUGUCCUGGAAAUCAUGUUGUUAGACAAUGGUGAACCUUCGAACUAUGAAGAAGCGAUGGCGGGCCCAGAUUCCGACAAAUGGCUGGAAACCAUGAAAUCCGAGAUAGGAUCCAUGUAUGAAAACGAAGUAUGGACUUUGACUGACUUGCCCGAUGAUCGGCGAGCCAUAGAAAAUAAAUAGAUCUUUAAGAAGAAGACAGACGUGGAUGGUAAUGUAACCAUCUAUAAAGCUCGGCUUGUCGCUAAGGGUUAUCGACAAGUUCAAGGGGUUGACUACAAUGAGACUUUCUCACCCAUAGCGAAGCUGAAGUCCGUCCGAAUCAUGUUAGCAAUUGCCGCAUUCUAUGAUUAUGAGAUAUGGCAAAUGGACGUCAAAACGGCAUACUUUAAUGGUUUCCUUAAGGAAGAGUUGUAUAUGAUGCAGCCGGAAGGUUUUGUCGAUCCUAAGAAUGCUGACAAGGUGUGCAAGCUCCAACGCUCGAUCUAUGGGCUGGUGCAAGCAUCUCGGAGUUGGAACAUUUGUUUUGAUGAGAUGAUCAAAGCGUUUGGGUUUAUGCAGACUUAUGGAGAAGCCUACAUUUACAAGAAAGUGAGUGGGAGCUCUGUAGCAUUUCUCAUAUUGUAUGUGGAUGACAUACUGUUGAUGGGAAAUGAUAUAGAAUUCUUGGAAAGCAUAAAGGCCUACUUGAACAAGUGUUUUUCAAUGAAGGAUCUUGGAGAAGCUGCUUACAUAUUAGGCAUCAAUAUCUAUAGAGAUAGAUCGAGACGCCUCAUUGGUCUUCCACAGAGUACAUACCUUGACAAGAUAUUGAAGAAGUUCAAUAUGGAUCAGUCAAAGAAGGGGUUCUUGCCUGUAUUGCAAGGUACGAGAUUGAGCAUGGCUCAAUGCCCGACCACGACAGAAGAUAGAGAAAAGAUGAGUGUCGUCCCCUAUGCCUCGUCUAUCAUGUAUGCUAUGAUGUGUACCAGACCUGAUGUAAACCUUGCCGUCAGUUUGGUAGGAAGGUACCAAAGUAAUCCCGGCAUGGAACACUGGACAGUGGUCAAGAAUAUACUGAAGUACCUGAAGAGGACUAAGGAUAUGUUUCUCAUUUAUGAAGGUGAUGAAGAGCUCGUCAUAAAUGGUUACAUCGAUGCUAGCUUCGACACAGAUCUGGAUGACUCUAAGUCAUAAAUCGGAUAUGUGUAUAUUUUGAAUGGUGGGGCAGUAAGCUGGUGCAGUUGCAAGCAAAGCGUUGUGGCGGGAUCUACAUGUGAAGCGGAGUACAUGGCAGCCUCGGAGGCAGCACAAGAAGCAAUCUGGGUGAAGGAGUUCAUUACCGACCUAGAAGUCAUUCCCAAUGCGUCGGGCCCGAUGACUCUCUUCUGUGACAACACUGGAGCUAUUGCCCUUGCCAAGGAGCCCAGGUCUCACAGGAAGACCAGGCAUAUCAAGCAUCGCUUCAACUUCAUUUGUGGAAGUGUUCAAAAUGGAGACAUAGAUAUUUGUAAAGUACAUACGGACCUGAAUGUGGCAGAUCCGUUGACUAAACCUCUCCCUAGAGCAAAACAUGAUCAACACCAGGACUCUAUGGGUGUUCGAUUCAUCACAAUGUAACUAGACUAUUGACUCUAGUGCAAGUGGGAGACUAUUGGAAAUAUGCCCUAGAGGCAAUAAUAAAAUGGUUAUUAUUAUAUUUCCUUGUUCAUGAUAAUUUUCUAUUGUUCAUGCUAUAAUUGUGUUAUCCGGAAAUUGUAAUACAUGUGUGAAUACAUAGACCACAACACGUCCCUAGUGAGCCUCUAGUUGACUAGCUCGUUGAUCAAAAGAUAGUCAUGGUUUCCUGACUAUGGACAUUGGAUAUCAUUGAUAACGGGAUCACAUCGUUAGGAGAAUGGUGUGAUGGACAAGACCCAAUCCUAAGCAUAGCUCAAAGAUCGUGUAGUUCGUUUGCUAGAGCUUUUCCGAAUGUCAAGUAUCAUUUCCUUAGACCAUGAGAUUGUGUAACUCCCGGAUACCGUAGGAGUGCUUUGGGUGUGCCAAACGUCACAACGUAACUGGGUGACUAUAAAGGUGCACUACGGGUAUCUUCGAAAGUGUCUGUUGGGUUGGCACGUAUCAAGACUGGGAUUUGUCACUCUGUAUGACGGAGAGGUAUCUCUGGGCCUACUCGGUAAUGCAUCAUCAUAAUGAGCUCAAUGUGACCAAGUGGUUGAUCACGGGAUCAUGCAUUACGGUAUGAGUAAAGUGACUUGCCGGUAACGAGAUUGAACGAGGUAUUGGGAUACUGACGAUCGAGUCUCGGGCAAGUAACAUACCGAUUGACAAAGGGAAUUGUAUAUGAGAUUGAUUGAAUCCUCGACAUCGUGGUUCAUCCGAUGAGAUCAUCGAGGAGCAUGUCGGAGCCAACAUGGGUAUCCAGAUCCCGUUGUUGGUUAUUGACCGGAGAGUCGUCUCGGUUAUGUCUACGUGUCUCCCGAACCCGUAGGGUCUACACACUUAAGGUUCGGUAACGCUAGGGUUGUUGAGAUAUUAGUAUACGGUAACCCGAAAGUUGUUCGGAGCCCUGGAUGAGAUCCCGGACGUCACGAGGAGUUACGGAAUGGUCCGGAGGUGAAGAUUUAUAUAUAGGAAGUCAAGUUUCGGCCAUCGGGAAAGUUUCGAGGGUAAUCGGUAUUGUACCGGGACCACCGAAAGGGUCCCGGGGGUCCACCGGGUGGGGCCACCUAUCCCGGAGGGCCCCUUGGGCCUCCCCCUGCGCCUAGGGUUGGAAACCCUAGGGGUGGGGGCGCCCCACUUGGCUUGGGGGGCAAGCCACCCCCCUUGGCCGCCGCCCCCCUUGGAGAUCCCAUCUCCUAGGGCCGGCGCCCCCCUAGGGGUCCUAUAUAUAGUGGGGGGAGGGAGGGCGGCCGCACCCUAGCCCCUGGCGCCUCCCUCUCCCUCCCGUGACACCUCUCCCUCUCACUGAGUUUGGCGAAGCCCUACCGAGAUCGCUGUUGCUUCCACCACCACGCCGUCGUGCUGCUAGAUCUUCAUCAACCUCUCCUUUCCCCUUGCUGGAUCAAGUUGGAGGAGACGUCUUCCCAACCAUACGUGUGUUGAACGCGGAGGUGCCGUCCGUUCGGCGCUAGGUCAUCGGUGAUUUGGAUCACGACGAGUACGACUCCAUCAACCCCUUUCUCUUGAACGCUUCCGCUCGCGAUCUACAAGGGUAUGUAGAUGCACUCCUUUCUCCCUCGUUGCUAGAUGACUCCAUAGAUUGAUCUUGGUGAUGCGUAGAAAAUUUUAAAAUUCUGCUACGUUCCCCAACAGGCGGCGCAUGAGUUUGGCCACGGUCCUCGUAGUGGAUUGGAAACCUCGACCUGAACCUCUGACCUCGUCGUAUCAUCCUCUUGGCUCUGAUUUGAUCGAUCAAUGGCCCCGAGUGUAAAUGUAUAGAUGUAUCCUUUCCACUACCGUGAUUUAAUUGACUUUGGAAAGGAUGAAGUGGGUGAGAAGUUGUUGUGGAGAAGGCAAGAGGUUGCAAUUGGGAAGCAGGGGCAGCGCUACGAUGAAAACAGAGAGGUCGCAUGCCUUAAGAAGAAGCGUGCGAUGUGGGGCCCUAUGUAGAAAAACGAUGUGGAAUGGCCGAGAGGAUAGAGAAAAAACUUGAUGAUGUGUCAUAUUUGUUGAGAUGGAUGGCUGAGUGGGACUUUGAGGUGGACACUUUGCAUGUUGAGAGAAUUGGGACCAACUUCUUAAGAAUGUAAGAUUAGUAUUUCAGCAGAGACUCAUAAAUUGAACUUCUAUUAGACCUUUAAGCUACAUCCACCCAUAACUUGAAUAAUGGAAUAUUCCUGGAAUUGCAAAUUUUGUGCAAAUAGAUUUAACAUAAAUUCAUAACCAGUACAGCAGUACCUGGAUGUCAGUAGCCUAGCCCGCGCGUGGAGCAUAUGUGUUGUACUGGUGAGCUUACUAGAGAUCUCCUAAGUCUCAUAGACUGCGAAUUUAACAGUUGGUCUCAUAUGGGUGUGUUCCUUCAAAAAUUAUUUGUAGGACAACAUCUUUCCUAAACAUAGACAACAGAAACACAUUAAGACAUGUUAUCAACAUGCUUUACAGCUCUAAGAGUUCUGCAUCUUCACAUAAAGAGAGUUAUAGGUUACUCUCCUCUAUUAAUAAAUAGCUUGUUUUUUUAGAUCCUAAUUCAUAGGAUCUAUGAUCACAAAUGUUGGGUUACUGUUAUGGCAUAACACAUAUGGGUAUCAUCUUCAUCAAUGCAUUAUGUAUCACAAUUCGUCAUAGUCCCUUUGUAACGGGAUUUGGGAGGUUUCUGUCUGUUUGAAUAUAUGUAACAAUUAUUACUAUGGAGUUUCUCAAUUUUUUGAUAAACAUCAAACGUCCCUUGACAUGUCUUGAGGACUUCACAUUAUCCUUCAAAUUCAUAUUGACAAUACAUGUUUGACUGUCAAUUUAUAAGAAUAUCCGACACUGGUUUAUUAGCAACAUGCAAGUCCAUCAUGCUCAUGCAACCACUCUUCCUUAACACUGGUUGCAUCUAAAGAGUAAGUUCCGACUCCAUCUUUUGUCAUAGAUUUUAAAGUAGUCUAAAGCCUCAUCAACAUAGCAAAAUCUAGUUGCAUCAUCAAUAAAUGUCAUGAAAUAUCUCUUUUCAUCUUUUGUCUACACACCAUUCAUCUCAUACAGAUCAGAAUAUAUGAGUUAUAGAGGUUCCUAGUUUCUCCUCGACUGCUAUGCGAGACUUUCGAGAUUGUUUUGAUUGCAUACAACUAUGGCAUAUAAAACCUUGGCAAUAGUAUAAUUUGAAAUUAAACCCAUGUUGUAUAGACAAGACAUUAAACCAAAAUUAACAUGAGAUAAACGAGAGUGCCAAAUACUCGCAUCAUCAUUAGCACUGGUACAACGUUGGUUUACUAACUGCUUGUUGCGAAAAUCCAGAAAAGAAAACUGGAACAAGCCUUCACACUCGUAGACUUUGCCUAUAAAUUAUCCAUAUUUUAACACAACUAUACUUUAUUUGACUAUAAACUACCUUAAACCCAUCUCUAUAUAAAAUGAAGUCGCUAACAAGAUUCUUGAUCAUAGUAGAGGCAUGUUAAACGUUCCUUACAGUACAAAAAAAAGACACAUUCGUGAUGAUACACCUUUGUCACAAUAGGUCACGUUUUCUCUUGCCCAUAUACAUUCGUGAUGGUUUUAUGACAGAUUCAAGAUAGCCAUACUUGUGUUGCCGGGAAUGUGUUCUAUGAAAAUAAUCACUUUUUCAUCGCGUAAGUGACCACUUCCAUGAUGAUAAAUGGCGUGUCAUAGAAGUUUUUGUCGAAGAUAACCGACACGUGGUAGCCACCGUAAUGGGUCACCGUUAAGCUAUCGGGUGCGUGUUCUGGAUCCGAUGCCCCUUAACAGCCAUGACCAAUGACAAUUUUUCACGUGUCAGCCUCUCAUUUGCUAGUGAAGCCACGCGUCAAGUCGACCUCGUGACAUGUGUCACACAUCCAAUGGACGAGAUGCACCUAUUGAAAGUCGACAUGUGGCAUGGCCCAAGCAGUGGUCCAUUUAUGUAAAAAGGCCCCAGUCUAAAGCCUGCUUAAGGCCCAAAAUAACUUCAAACAUAAACAUGGAAUUAAACAUUUACGGUCAAUGAAAUCACAAACCAAUCACCUGAAUGGAACCAUUCGAUGUCCAUCUUUUUUAGUGUACAACUUAUCGCGAAUCGAAGGACGGGUGUGUGGAUUAGAAGAUACUAGCGAACAAGAUUAGGAGGGUGAUAUGCAUAUUAGAGUACACUGGUCACAUGUAGAUCUACUCAUCUAUGAAUCUGUGAAACAGAAAACGUACAACACGAAAGUCGUGUCAAACAGCAAAGUAAAGCUACUCAUCAAAGGAAAUUUCUAAUGGUCAAAUGUGUGCCACAAUUUUGUCAAAAUUCAUCCAAAAAGACUCCAGAACACAAAAUUCAACAUAAAGAGUGAAAGAAACUACGAUCCGAUCGCCCGAAUAGAAUCAGAACAUCGAGGUGCAUCCUUUUCGUGCACCGCUUAUCUCGAAUCAAAGCACAGUUGUGUAGAAGGAAUAAAGGAGAUUAAGUAGGUGAAUAGAGAAAACCACCUGCAAACCACCUAUAACCAUGUACCAUCAGAGCUACCCACGUGCACUGGAGAACAUCGCUCGGGCCCGGCUUGCUGAAAACGGUUGAUCCAGCCGUUUCCACUGAGACAGGCUCGGAGAUGGUUUGAGAAGCGUGUCGUGCAAACCCGAUAGUGUUUGCAUUGAACAAUGAAAAAAGUUGCAUCCAGCGUGCCUGACUGAGGGUUACGCAGGUAGCCAAAUGCCUCCUAUAUCUCACUUAAACGCGAGAUAGAAGCUAGUUUUGCCUUAAGCAGGCAUGUGGUGGGCCGACCAGUAGUGUCAGGUUCGUUCUUUUUUAUAUUUUAUUUUUUAAUUAUUUUAAAUUUAAAAAAUAUAAUAAAAUAUAUUAUAUAUUUCGAAAAAAUAAUAACCUUAUAUUUUUAUCGAGCAUUUAAAAUGAUGUUAACGCAGUGUGAAAAACAAUUUGUGCAAAGUUAUUAAAAAAAUCAUAGUAUUCAAAACAAAUGUUUUGACAUUUAAAAAAUGUACAUGUGUUUCUAAAAGAUUGUGACAUAUUUAAAAAAAUAUACUCCCUCCGUUCCUAAAUAAUUGUCUUUCUAGACAUUUUAAAUGGCUACCACAUACGGAUGUAUGUAGACAUAUUUUAGAGGGUAGAUUCACUCAUUUUGCUCCAUAUGUAGUCACUUGUUGAAAUAUCUAGAAAGACAAAUAUUUAGGAACGGAGGGAGUACAAUGUAAAAAAGUAUUUCCUAAUUCAGAAAAAAAUAUCCGUCCCAUUGGAAAAAAGUUUGUGAUUUUAGAAACUAUUUACGCAUUUCAAAAAUACGUUCUUGAAAAUUUGAAAGGAAUUUUUAUAUAAUGUAAAAAAUGUACGUGCAGUUUGAAAAAAUGUUUUGCAUCGUUCAAAAAUAAUAUUCAUGACAUUAAAAAAAGGUCACGUAUUUCAGGAGAAAAGGUGAUGGGCACGAAGAGUUUGGCAAGGUCGUGGCCAAGCUGUCAAGUUUGGCAAACAAGCCAUGGUACUUGGACAGAGAUGUGAGCAAGCAUAUGACCAGGGAUGUUGAGAAGUUUUUCGAACUGGACUGAAGAAUCACUGGAAAUGGUUCAGUGGUGGGCAUUGAGGGGCGUGGCUCAGUCCUCUUUGUCGCCCACAAUGAAGAGCACUGGCUUCCGACAGAUGUUUACUUCAUUCCGAAGUUGAGUAGCAAUAUCAUCAGUUUGGGGCAACUAGAUGAAUUUAUCUGCAAGUACUCAGUGGACGAGGGGCUGAUGACAGUACUGGACAAAGAGCGCAAGGUGCUGGCGAAAGUAAGAAGGGCAUUGACAGACUGUACAUACUGAACAUUGAACAGUCUGCCCACUGUCGAAAGUUUCAGAAACUCCUUUGGUUAUGGCAUGCUCGUUUUGCAGUUGCACACAAAAGCUUUCAUGCUCUACUGAAGGAAAUCAUGGAAUCCGACUAUGGUUGACAUGGCAAAAAGUCUACUAAAGAGCAAGGGUCAGCCUGGACAGUUUUGGGGUGAAGUCAGUAGUGUCCACUGCAGUUUAUCUGUUGAAUCGUGCACCGACGAAUUGAGCACUUGCACACGUUUGGCUGCAUCGGACACAUGAAGGAAGUUGGUGGUCACCUCACAAACAAAACUAGCCGACCAAAGUUCAGAGAUGGCACUGAUCGGGUAUGAGCCAGACAGUAAGGCCUAUAGGAUGUUGGAUCCUUGUGCAAAGAAAUUGUGUGUCUCGAGAUGUUGUGUUGGAAGAAGAUAGACGCUGAGAAUGAGCGUCGGGCGAAGUAGAGCAGAGGAACCCACAUCUGUUGAAGUGGCAGGUAAAGAAGUGCCAUGGAGAGAAGAUAUGGACAGACAUCAGCUUGUUUAAGAGUAAUGAAACUUGGGAGAUCACUGAUAUGCCAAAGGGACACAAAGCAAUUCGUUUGAAAUGGAUUUUACAAACUGAAGAAAGAUCCCGGUGGCACAUAUAUGCAUAAACAAGAAAUUGCAAUAUACUCUGAUUGCCCAUCUUCAUAUGUACUACUCAGAUCACUCACGCCGAGUUCUCUUCUAGGUAGUACUUUCCAUUUACAACUCUUGAGUCAGCUAAUUAAAACUUUUGGAAAGUCUCAGACGGCACCGUGGAAAAAAGUCAAAAUUGCUACACUCAGGGGAGGUAUCUGAACAUUUCUCUACUACACAGUCCAGCCUAGCUAGCUUAGCUACAUGGGACCAAACAGUGAAGAAACGGAUCUGAGCAGAGAGACGAAACGAAUCAAGAAUCUUUGGACGUAAGGAUGAGUACCAUCCCAGCUGACAAAACUGCCGAUCUUCCUCGUCGUUCGACGACCGGACUCCGCCGCGUCCUGCUCGCUGAGCUCGGCCAUCUUCUCGGAGUGAUCGCUGAUGAUGCUGGCUGCGCGGGCGUCCUCGGGGAGCACGAUCUGGUACCCGUCCUUGAGCGCGUCCAUGCCGUCCCCGUCGAGCAGCAGCUGCCAGAAGGCGCCGCCGACGAGCGGCCCGCCCCGGGACGCCGACUCGUAGAUGGCGUCGAGCACCGUGCCGAGGAAGCGGUCCCUCCUCUGCGUGGCGGACGUGGCGUUCUCGCCGCCCUCCUCCCAGAGGAACUUGCCGUACUCGGUGACGAGGAGCGGCUUGCGGAGGUGGCGGUGGGUGUCACUGACAUGCGACGCCGUCCAGUUGCGGAAGAAGCGCGCCUGCUGGUCGGCGGUGGAGCCCCAGAGCCAGACGUCCGGGUAGAGGUGGAUGGUGGCGAAGUCGAUCCCGGCGGCCUGGUGCGUGGCCACGAAGUUGGUGCCGUAGUAGAUGCCCCACGGGUUGAGCUCCUUGCUCUCGUGCGCGCCGUCGCCGUAGAAGCCCUCCAGCCCCGCCGUGACCAGGUGGGCGGCGUCGAUGGCCUUGAGGUACGGCGCCAUCUCCUCCACCCACGCCUGCACCAUGGCGCCCGUGGGGUCGGCGCCGCACCGGGGCUCGUUCAUCAGCUCCCACCCGAAGAUGGCCGGGUCGUCCCGGUACGCCACGCCGCUCACCGUGUUCACCCUCGUCAGCACCGUCUGUGUCACACGUACGUAGAGAAGAGACAUCAAUACUUAUUUGGAUUUAGAUCACCGACGUGACAACGUGCUAACUGACACGUACGUACUUAUAUGGCACGUGUGGUGAUGAAUGAACUGGUGAUUACCUUGACGUGGUUCUUGUAGUAGGACUUGACGAGGGUGUUGUCGAAGAAGUCGUCGGCGGAGGUGAGGUUGUGAGCGCCGGCGCCGGCGGCGACGUCCUCCCUCGCCCACUGGACGUACUGGCGCUUGCCGCCGAAGUCGUCGAAGUUGUUGGUAAGACAGAGGAGGAGGUAUAUCCCAUGCCGCCUCGCCUCGGCGACGACGAAGUCCAGACCCUGCAUGCGAAAAGCCCACACACAAGCUGUCAUUUUGCACCGAGCAAGCUAGCCUCGCACCACCUGUCGGCACCUAACGUCGGCAUCGAGGCCGACAGACGGAUUGAACGGUGGCCUAGCUUACCUGGAACAUAUCCUCGUGGUAGACGCUCGGCGAGGACUGCAGCGGGCGGUCGCCGCCGUCGCUGAAUGCCCAGGUGCGCGCGAGGUUGAGGCCGUGCGCCGCCGCCUGCCGGAACGCCGACACCACCCCGCCCCGCCGCGACGGGUCGGACGCCAUCUCCAUGAGCCAGUAGGCGUUGAACCCGCUGAGGUACACCGUCCGGUCGCCGUCCCCCGCCACGAAGCGCGUGCCGUCCGUCCGCACCAUGCCGCCGCCGUCCCCUCCGGCCGCGGCGGCAUGCCACGGCACGACGACGAGGACAGCCAGGAGGAAAAGGCCGACCACGAGAUCAGCCGGCGGCCGUGGCCUCAUCGCCGGACGUACGUAUGGCCGCAGCCGCCGCGCGCUAGCUAAUGGAGCUUUGGUGUGCACGCCCCUUUGGCAGCAGACAGAGCGCGCUGACGCGUACGUGCAGUGCGAGCUAGCUUGCCUAAUUUGGCGCCAACUUAACCGGUGCUGGGCCGGCAGGCGUAGUAAUAGAGCACGGCCGGUGCGAGGCAGAGCUCAGGCCUGGAACACGCAGGCACCUCAUCACUUUCUACGUGGACAAACACGUCGACGCGCGGAUCAUCCCACGAAAGCGACUGCUGUGUUUGAAUAGCAUUGUGCUCGGUGUAUGUACUCAGGCCAUUGUUGUCUUCGAAUUGAGCUUGGUGUUAGAGACACGCUGACGCCGGCGGCCGAACUGGAGCGCUUGCCAUUUGACGUGUAGGCAAGGCAGGCGUAGCGGCCGUGGGGCCCACCUCCCAGAGAAGGGGAACUUGGAUCUGUUUUCCAAACGCUCCGCUCCACCACAACGAGCCACCAGAGCUUGUGGUGCCUGGCUAGCCGGUCCCGUCACGUGAUAAAAUCGGCCGGCUUGGAUCAACGGUCAAGAUUAACUGUAAAAAAUGUCGAUGGAAAGUGAGUAGAAGAGCAGAGACGCACGUAUAUAUACCGAGCGUAUGCGUAUGCAACGAGCCACGAGGGGAGUGCAUGUGUGCGUUCAUAGGAAUGAGUGUAUGCGCGUGUAUAUAAGCGCUUGUGUCUGUACUGAUGCUCAAAAAAGUGUCGGCUGUCAACUCGACGUCAACGUUCGCGCGUCAGCGCGUGGUCCGCGGAGAUGACCUACGUACAGGGUACAGACUACAGUGAGUGCUCUACACUUGUGUUGGUCUCGACCGAGCUGGACCAGGAGUAUCAAGCUUUCGACAUAACAUACAGGUUUAGUUAUGUGAUGUGUUCUCAAGAGGGGUUUGAUACGUAGAAUUGGUGACGGAACAACUACGGAAGUAUGGCAUGACAACUGGAUACAAGGAAGCAACACCUUCAAACCUGUAUGCAAUAUGGGUAGUGAUCCCAUACAUCUUGUAUCUGAUCUGAUGACGCAGGAGGGCGAGUGGAAUGAUGAAAUUAUCGAGAGAACCUUCAUUGCCCCGGAUGCAAAUGCUAUCAUGAACAUGCCAAGGCCGCGGGUAGCUAUACCUGAUUUUUGGGCAUGGGGCUAUGAGAGGUCCGGGAUCUUCACGGUUCGAUCAGCGUACAGAAUGUUGAUGGGAGAUCGGGAAGAGGUUUUGAACCAGGUUGGCAGCUCCUCCCAAGGGGAGGAGGUGUGGAAAUCAUUAUGGAGGCUGAAGGUCCAGCCCAAGAUACGAAUUUUCUGGUGGCGGGUCCUUAAAGGAUUCCUGCCGGCGAAGGAAGAGUUAUACCGAAGACAUUGACUAAAGUCCCAGCUGAUGAAAUGGCGACCGUUUGGAGCGACCGCGAGGGCGCUCCGCACCCAACUGCGGAUCCACCGGACGGCGCCGGAGAUCGCCGGCGGGUGGGAGGCCGAUUCUGGGUUUUAGCGGGAUCUGAUGAAGAGGAUGCGGAAGAUGAUGGGCCGGCGCCGCCGGGGGAGUCGCCACCGUCUCCUUCUCCGUCGGACCUUAUUUGCGAGUUUUUUCAUUGUGGGUAUUCCGAAGAGGAGGUGGCGACGACGGUAGAUCGGGUCGUUCCUCCUGACGAUCCGGCACGCGCGGGGCUUGACGACGGAGAGAAGGUCGAGAUGAUUCGACGGAUUGUUCAUCGGAAGACCGCGACAACGGCGCUUCGGCCAUGGAAAGGGCCGCUUCCUAAGGUUAGUUUGCCGAAACUCACUGUGUUUGAUCUGAUUCGUCUCGAGGAUUGGAUUACGGUUAAGCGAAAGAAGAAGACGCGGAAGUUCUACCGGAGUUUGAGAUCGCCGGCGCCGGCCAGGCCGGACGCGGCGGCCGCGAUUCAAACGACGAGGGCAGCCGCGCUAGCUCGGCUGUUGUGUGCGGCUGGGCUGGAUCGCGAGGCUGCGGGCUCUGCUGUUUUUGGGCUUGAGAACAAUGGGUAUGAGGCCCACUGUUGCUCUCUUGUCCGGCCCGGGUUGAGUUUACAGCCAUGCACGUCCGAUACAUCUACCUCUUCGAUCGUUCCUGCGCCGUCGUUGGGAGGCGCUAGGGUUCGUCGGUGUGGGAGACGCGGCUACCCGGUGUGUGGAGUGCGCCGGGCAAGGAAAAUCCCUCCGCUUCAUAUGGCUGGCCGGGGAUCGGCCCCCACACCGGCCGCGAGUGGCACGGGGGGAAGUGCUGGGGCUGCCCCGCCGCCGCCCCAUGGGUCGGGCCGUGGAGCUCCGCCGAUCGGGCAGCGGCCGCCGGCUCCGGCCCCGGGAGCUGCAGGGCGUGGAGGAGCGCCGCCCCCUCAGCUUCGGGGUGUUCCUCCGCCCCCAGUGAGGCAUCAGAACGGCAACCUGGGAGCCCGGGCGGCGGCUGCGUUGCCGCCGGCGGCUGGGCGGGGAGUGCUAAGACCCCACACGCCGGCUUUGACUACGGCUGCUGCUGGUCGGGGGGUCCCUCGCUCACCUCCGCAGAGGGCGCCUACUCCUGUGACAGCGGCGGCGGCUCCGGCUAUGGUCAGACCCGCGGCGCCGGGAGUGGCUCCGACUGCCCGUGUUACCUCUGAGCCUGUGAACGUGCCUUCGGGGGGUCAGCGUGCACCUCCUCCUCAUCUUGCUAUUCGACAGGCGCAGAACCGCUCGGGGCAGACGCAGGCUCAGACCAGACAGAAUUCCAGUGGAGGGCCGGUUGAUGCACCACGAGGCAAGUGGGGAGAUGACGGUUUCGAUGCAUAUGGUGUGGGUCAACAUCGAGGAUCUUCGUCAGCGGGAGGAGGUCGUGGAUAUGCUUGGCAGAGUGACGGGUCUGCAGAGAGACCAUUUCUAGGGCCAGCUGGAGGCUUUGUUGAGGGGGCCUCAGGACCAGAUAACAGACAGAGAGGAGGUUUCCGUGGAUACCGUGGUCGUGGUGGAGGCCGAGGGAGGUUUCGACGGCCGCCUCCACCCAGGGUUACUGAUUCUACCGGGUCGGCAAUGGAAACUGAUCAGACCCCCCUUGAGUUACCACCCCAGGCGAUGGAGGUGGUGAAUGCACUGGCUGUUGUGGACGUUCCUGGGACUGAGAAGGACGACGAGGUUGCUGACCGGGCUGAUGCAGAGCGGGCAUCCAAGUAUGCUCGCAAGAAAGAGAGGAUGCUUUGUUACCGGUGCGGUGAGAAAGGUCAUUUCAUUGCAGAAUGCGUGGCUCAGCUUUGUGAGUCUUGUGGCAAGCCAGCGCAUGCUUCGGGGGAGUGUCCUUUUCUGAGGGAGCAGGUUCCAGCUCUUACUGUGUACGGUGUGUACUGUGCUGAGCUGAUGUUCUUUGAGUCAGCGGCUGCGAGGGAGGCUCCAGUUGAGACCCAGAGCCUCACUACUGGAUUGGUGAAGGUGACCCAGGGUGAUGUUUCACACGCUCAGAUUGUGCAGAGGCUUAUGGAGCUGGCUCCGGGUGAUUUUCAGUGGGACCUGGUAUCUGUUGAAGAAAGAGUGUUCAGAGCUGAGUUCCCUUCGGUUGAGGACUUGCGGCGCUUGUUGAGCUUUGGGAUGUGUAAGGUUCCAGGCACCAACGGCAUUUUGGAGUUUCACGAGUGGAAGAAAGUUGAGCCUAAGGGGAAGCCUCUUACUCAAGUGUGGCUGAGAUUCUCUGGGGCACCAUCUGAGGCUCUAGCUGAUGUUCGUGUGGUGGCUAGCUUGGGGAUUAUGGUUGGUAAAACGGAGAAGGUUGAUAUGGCGUUCAUGAGAGCUCAGGGGGUGGCCCGUUUGCGAGUCAGUAUUUUGGACAUAGAGUAUGUUCCGGACGUCGUUAACUGGACAUAUAGGGGUGAGGUUUUUCCCCUUGAGAUCGAGUUUGAGGAUACGGAGUUAUUUGCUGAGGUGGCUGCUGGCACUGACGUGGAUAUGCACGAAGGGGGUGAUGAUGAUGGUGCUUCCAGGGAACCGACUGAUGAGGCGGCACAGGAGCCCAACGGAUCGGGGCCUGUGGCUCAGGAGUCUGAGAACGGAUCCGGUAUGGAGCAGUCUCCCACUUCGUCUCAGCCUCAUAGCACUUUGCGGUUUGGAUCUUUUCAGCCGACAUCGGCUCCUCCUCGUCUAUGGAGUGAUCGGGUUGACUCUCACGACGCGUUUGAGCACACGCUACCGGCCUUGGACUUUGGACAGGCUCUCCGGCGUUCGGACGACGUUCGACGUGAGGUGGAGCCUCAGGGGUUGCCGGGGCUCACUCCUGGAGGGGAGGGGCUCGGCUUGGUUUCUUCCCGGAGGGAAGGGGUGUCGGGGCAGGCGGCCACGACGCCCUCUUCUCCCGUCUCGUCGCCUAUGUCGACGCGGCUGGCGUCAGUGUCCGGCGGUGGCGGUACACCUUUGGGGCAGGUGGCCCUGGAGGAGUGCCAGGCGGGAGCUCCGACUGUGGACGAGUCGCAGGAGGCACUACGUACGCGUCAGGGGCAGGUGGCCCCAGACCCUCUAGUGCCGACGGUGGUUCAACCGGCGUUGCACUCGGCUUCGAGGGCGAGAGCAGGGGGGAUGGACUAGGGCAGGCGGCUCUGGUGCCCACUCCUCCUGCCAUCUCCCCCUCCCUUCGGAGGUCUCCCUCACCUAGGCCGUCUCCGGGUUCCGUUACUCGGGAGGAGGUGAUUGCUUUCGGUGGGAUUCGAGACCCGGUUUCCGAGGGGAGACGGAUGAGCUCUCGUCUCCAGGACCUUCCGGAGGUGGAUGACAUGCAGCAGCGGUGCGCUAUGCGGGCGGCCAAGCUUCGUGAUGUUGAGAUCACUACUGGUAUGUCAGUUAAUUUAUCUAAUUCCAUUUUGCAUUUCUCUAAGGAUGAGAUUAUUAAUAAUGCAAACCAAGUAGGUGUGUCUCUUGGGGAUAAUAAUGCUGAAAUUUCGAACUCGGUUAAUGAUCUCUUAGAUUUGGAAGCGGAACGGGCCUUAGAAACCAUUAGAAACCUAGCGGCAGUAAAACCUAUGAAUGAUGCUGAGAUUGACGCAUUGGGGGUAAGGGUGCUGGACACCUUCUGUGCGGAUCUUGUUCCUACGUCGGCGGAGUCUGACGAGGAGGAAGUAGGUGUGGAGGAAAUAGUAAUUGCACAACCGGAGCACGGUUAUGAGGACCGGGUUACGGAUAAUAACAUUCCUAAGCGUAAGUGGAAGCGGAAGGUGUAUCCUGCAUCCGCGGUACGUAGGAGUGCUAGGAUUCGGACUGCCAAAAAAUUCCAUGAUGACCUAUGAAAGGAAUCUUCUGGAAUAGCAGAGCUCUUAAGGACUUGGCUAAACGUAGGUUUCUAGCGGAGGCAUCUUUAGAGCACAGUUUGGACUUCAUUGCGCUCUCUGAAACUGGUAGGGAGAAUUUUGCGCCACAGUUUCUUAACACUUUGUCGGGAGGAGUGGAGUUCGAUUGGCAUUGUCUUCCUCCAAGAGGGAGGUCCGGUGGCAUCUUGCUUGGUGUGAGAUGUGACUCCCUGGAAGUCCGGAGCGUUGUUAUGGGUGACUUCGCGGUCAAAUUUCGAGUCAGGUCUAAAGUAGAUGGGUUUAACUGGGUUCUGGUGGCGGUCUAUGGGGCCGCACAACCUGAGCUUAAACCGGAGUUUUUGGCAGACCUGGUUCGUAUUUGCGGAUCUGAACAACUUCCUAUUUUGGUUGGGGGGGACUUCAACAUCAUUAGGAGGAGGGACGAGAAGAACAAUGAUAACUUUGACGGCCGAUGGUCUUUUAUGUUUAACACCAUCAUUGAGAGCUUGGAUCUGAGAGAGAUCGAGCUUUCUGGUCGCCAAUUCACCUGGGCUAACUCUUUACCCAAUCCGACAUACGAGAAGUUGGAUCGGGUGCUAGCAAGUCCCGAAUGGGAACAGAAAUUCCCUCUCGUCACGGUUCAGGCUCUCACGCGUGGGAUUUCGGACCACACGCCUUUGUUCGUAGACUCCGGUGAACCAAGGCAUGUGGGAAACAAAAAUACCUUCUCUUUCGAAACGGCGUGGUUUGAACGAGAAGGCUUCCUGGAUCUCGUAGCUAGGGAGUGGGCUACGGAUACUGGGGGAAAAUCGUCCAUCGUGAGAUGGCAGAAUAAGAUCAGGCAUUUGAGGAGCUUUCUCCGGGGAUGGGCUAAACACCUAAGUGGAGUUUAUAAGAUUGAAAAGGAUAGACUCCUAGAUCUUAUACGAUCCCUAGAUGUUAAAGCUGAAUCUACAAUUCUGCAGUCUGCUGAUUUGUCUUGUAAGCUUGAUGCGGAGAAGAGGUUGAAGGAACUUCUCCGUGAAGAAGAGCUGAAGUGGGCGCUCAGAGCAAAGGUUCGCAAGGUAAUCCAAGGGGAUGCGAACACUCAAUUCUUUCAUCUUAUUGCAAAUGGCAAACACAGAAAGAAAAUUCUUUUUCAGCUCGAGCAAGAUGAAGGCACAAUUGUGGGUCACGAUAAUCUAAAGAUCUACAUCACCGAAUAUUAUAAGCAGUUAUUUGGACCGCCGGAGGAUAGCGCGGUGUCCCUAGAUGAGUCCAGGAUUGAGGAUGUGCCUCAACUAACUGCUUCUGAUAAUGCUAGCUUGAUUGCACCGUUUACGGAAAAGGAAGUUUUCGAUGCCAUUUCCCAGAUGGAGAACAAUAAGGCUCCUGGGCCGGAUGGGUUUCCGGCGGAGUUUUAUAAAAAAUGCUGGCAUAUUAUCAAGGGGGAUCUUUUACCCAUGUUUCAUGACCUGUUUGCUGGACGGCUUCAUCUAUUUCACCUGAACUUUGGAACCAUAACGUUGCUACCAAAAAAGACAGAUGCUCUGAGGAUUGAGCAGUUCCGGCCUAUCUGUCUUCUCAAUGUUAGUUUCAAAAUUUUUACCAAGGUUGGGACGAAUAGGCUCACACAGAUUGCGCAUUCUGUGGUGCAGCAAUCCCAGACAGCUUUCAUGCCGGAUAGAAACAUCCUAGAAGGGGUGGUGGUCUUGCAUGAAACGAUCCAUGAAAUUCACUCUAAGAAACUAGAUGGAGUCAUUUUUAAAGUGGACUUUGAGAAAGCGUACGACAAAGUUAAGUGGCCUUUCCUGCAACAAGCUCUGCGUAUGAAAGGGUUCGACGAGGGCUGGAGGAGCCAGAUUGAAUCGUUUACGCAGAAGGGUAGUGUUGGUAUUAAAGUGAAUGACGACAUUGGUCAUUACUUCCAGACACACAAGGGCUUGCGGCAAGGUGAUCCGAUGUCCCCUAUUCUGUUCAACAUAGUGGUGGACAUGUUGGCAGUUCUGAUAGGGAGAGCCAAGGAGGCAGGCCAAGUUGGAGGCUUGGUGCCUCAUUUAGUGAAUGGAGGUAUUUCCAUCCUGCAGUACGCUGAUGACACUAUCAUCUUCAUGGAGCAUGACUUGGUAAAAGCAAGAAAUAUGAAGUUGUUGCUUUGUUUGUUUGAGCAAUUGAGUGGGCUCAAAAUUAACUUCCAUAAAAGUGAGUUGUUCUGCUUUGGUAGAGCCAAAGAGGAACAAGAAGCCUAUAAACAAUUGUUUGGGUGUGGUUUGGGGGAGUUACCAUUCACAUACCUAGGGAUUCCAAUACAUCACCGUAGGCUUACGAACAAUGAAUGGAAGUGUAUUGAAGAUCGAUUUGAGAAAAAGCUAAGCUGUUGGAAGGGUAAGCUAAUGUCAUAUGGAGGCCGGUUAAUUCUUAUUAAUUCGGUGUUGACGAGUAUGCCCAUGUUCCUUUUGUCUUUUUUUGAAGUACCGGUUGGGGUAAGGAAAAGACUGGACUUCUAUCGAUCGCGGUUCUUUUGGCAGGGAGAUGAGCUAAAAAGAAAAUACCGGUUAGCGAAGUGGGAUAUCAUUUGUAGGCCGAAAGACCAAGGGGGUAUGGGGAUUGAAAAUCUCGAGGUCAAGAACCGAUGCCUUCUUAGUAAGUGGUUAUGGAAGUUAGCUUCAGGAACUGAAGCCACUUGGGCUCAAAUCCUUCGUAAUAAGUAUCUUCAAACCAAAACUUUGUCUCAGGUCACGGUUAGACCGACUGAUUCACCCUUUUGGAAAGGGCUAAUGAAAGUUAAGCUUUCAUUCUUUCAGAGGGCAAAGCAUGUUGUUGGAAAUGGUGCCAGCACAAGAUUCUGGGAGGAUUGUUGGCUCGGUGAUACGCCCCUUGCAAUCCAGUAUCCGGCGUUGUAUCGUGUUGUACAAAGGCGUGAUACUUUGGUUGCAACAGUCUUUCGUUCCAUUCACUUAAUAUUCAAUUUAGAAGAUCGUUAGUGGGCAAUCAUUGGGAACAGUGGCUGCAUCUAGUUAGGAGACUGAUGCAGGUCCAGCUUUCACAACAACCUGAUAAACUGCGCUGGAAUCUCACUAGGUCGGGGGAAUUCACAGUUAAAUCCAUGUAUGUUGCUGUUAUCAACUCCAGCUCGAUUCCUACUUCCAAGCAUGUGUGGGAUGUCAAAGUUCCUUUGAAGAUUAAGGUGUUUAUGUGGUUUCUUCAUAAACAAGUCAUCUUAACAAAGGAUAAUUUAAAAAAGCGCAAUUGGACAGGUCCUACUAGGUGUAGUUUCUGUGAUCAGGGUGAAACCAUUAAGCAUUUAUUCCUUGAGUGCCCACUAGCUAGAAUUCUUUGGACAACUGUUCAUGUUGCUUUCAAUAUUACUCCACCAAAUUCGGUGAAUAUGAUGUUUGGAGCUUGGCUUAAUAGGGUAGAGCCCGGGUUAGCUAAACAUAUUUGCGUGGGGGUGUGCGCCUUAGUGUGGGCACUGUGGAAUUGCAGAAAUGAUCUUGUUUUUAACAGAACAACAAAAACUCAUGUUUUGCAGGUUAUCUUCAGAGCCACGGCACUUAUCCGUUCCUGGUCGCUACUCACUCCGACGGAGGCCAGGGAGCGUUUGGUUACUGGUGCUAUCCGAUGGGAGACGGUAGCUCGGGAUAUCUUCAGCCGGUUUGGAUGGCGGUCAUGUAAUAGGAUAGGCAAUUAGUUUACCUGUCUUUUGUUGAGCCAAUCGGCUGUGGUUUAUCCUUUGUUGGGCUAGCUUAUGUAUCUAGCCUUUGGGUUCUGUGUGAGCCUUUUCGUUUUCUUUUUAGUUUGCUACUACUCAGACUUCGAGACUUUGUGGAUGUUUUAUUAUUAAUAAGAUGGCCGUAUGCAUCAUGCUGAUGCAGAGGCCGGGGAUCCCCCUUUUCGGAAAAAAAAUACCAAAGACAUAUAGGGGAAGAUUAUACUUGCCCAAUGUGCGGCAAUAAGGAGGAAUCGCUGUUUCACUCUCUGGUUACAUGCAAUCAUGCCAAACUGUUUUGGAUAGAGGCAGAAGAUUUCUUCGAGUUCAAGAUACCAAAACUACAUCCAGCGACGUGGUCGCGGGAUUUGCUUGAUCCCAGUUUCAUUGGGAGAGACCGGGCGGCUGUCAUUAUAUCAGUCAUGUGGGCAAUCUGGUCAAGCAGGAACAAAUACACCCAUGAGGAAGUCAAAUAUCAGCCCGGGAGAUCGAUGGUCCUAGUGAAGGAACUCAUCCAAGCUGUGUACAUCCCGCCCAAUACAGAGGGGAGGUGUAUUACGAAGGAGAGAUGGAAGCCACCGGGAGCUGGUUGGUUGAAGAUCAAUACGGACGCUGCGCUGGAUGGAAACGGGGUUUCCUCAGCGAUCGGACUAGUGGCACGGGGCCAUGAUGGAGAAUUGAAGCUCGCGAGAGGCCGCAAGCUUCCCGGGGUUACGGACCCGUAUUGUGCAGAGCUGCUAGCUGUGAGGGAGGCUGUGCGUCUGGCUAUGGAGAAGGGCUGGACGCGGGUGAUCGUCGAGACGGACUGCAAGACUGUUAUAAACGAGUAUAUGGCAAUGGAGUGCAGGUCGACGGGUAGCCCAAUCAUCAGCGAGAUCAAAUCCUAUCUCCAACACUUUCAGGGGUUACAACUAAAAUUUGCUAGUAGAGAUGCCAAUGAGGUUGCUCACUGGUGCGCCAGAGAGAGUCUGGAUAGUGCUUCGAUUGUAAACUUUUUUGAUGUUUUCCCUGCUUCAUUGAUUGCCCUAGCGCAAUUGGAUGUAAACCGUCUUAUUAAUGAAUAAAGGCCUUGAGGGCGGUUCUCAAAAAAAAAGUUAUGUGAUGUGUUGCAUGCUGGUGUGGUUAAACCACCGUCAUACCAUGUGUUGCAUGCUGAUGUGUUGCAUGCUGCGCACGUGCAAUACUAGUGCGGUUAAACCACCGUCACAACUCACAACGCAUCGAUCACCAUGCCGAUCUGAGGUUUCGUUUUUUUUUUUUUGAAAGGCGAUCUGAGGUUUCGUUGGUCUCAUCGAAGGCCUCGUCCUGUGUCCAGACUCCAGAGCGUGUGCCGUUUGACGCGUAGCUGCACAUAGAAGUUUCACGGGGCCCACAUACGGGAAGAGAAGAAAGAAGCAAUUGUUCCACUCCAGGUUUUGCGCCUUGGGACCAUGCAAAGAAAAAAAAAGGUUUUCGCCUUGGGAUAGAUCCCAUGCACCAGACACAGUAGCCGGGUGCAUGUAAAAACUGUCGACGGAGAGGGAGAGAGACGAGUUGUGCACCACCGUUCGUGCUGACCCGUCACCACGUGGCGGUAUAGGAAGCGCGCUGUGUACGCCGCAGUGGCUCGUCCGUCGGCCGACCAGAGACAACGCCGACGCCGAUCGACGUUGACGUAUAUAUAUGGCCGACUUAUAAAGCGCACUGACAUAUUGACUGGUCUAAGCACCUACUGUUCGUCAGUUGCCGGAGAAUCUAAUUUGCGUCGUCGGUCGAUUUUAUGCGAAUUAAGCAGACCAGCUCCGAUAGCUCCUCCAAAAACCUUCUCUAAAGGUCAUUUUAUGGGACGAUCGCACAAUUUAUGUGAAGUUGUCUAGCACCUACGUUUCUCAGUUUUCACAAAUAUCUUACCAUAAAAUUAUUUUUCUCUAUUUUUGGUUACAAAAAGCCUAGCUAAUAGCCUGCUGCCCGCAACGAGGUGUCGCGGGUGGGCAUGCGGCACGCUGAAGGAACUCGCUAGAGCGGCGGUGGUCGGCAGUGCUAGUGGUGGCAUGGCGGCAGCCGAAGGAGGAAGAAGAGGCGUGACGGUGGGGAGGCUCACCGACGAGCGGCAUCGUCAACAGCUGCCGGCAUAGCUGGGGUGCGGCGCACGAGGCACAUCACGAGAGAGCUCCUCUCCUAACGACGUGGCGUGAAACUUCAGGCGGUGCUGGUGGUGGCAUGGCAACGGUGGCUGGCUGUGCUGGUGGUGGCGGGCCGAUGGUGCUGUUGGGUGGUGUGGUAGCGCGGCGUGGCGGCGGCAUGAGGGUAUCUGGGUGUGUAAGUUCAAGCGGUUUUAACCCACCAAAAUUACACGGGAAGAUCAUCAUACCGUAACCAUGAGGAGAAUUGGGGGAAAUUACACGGGAUCCCGUAAAAUCAAUCUGGAUUUAUGGGAGCUUUUAGGGGGCUAUUUUGGCCUCAACUUCGGGUAAACAAUAUUAUUUUUUACAGAUAGGGGAGCUAUUGGAGUUUAUCUAAGACAUUGACAAGGGCGUCACGUCGAGUGGCGGCGAAGCUUGGGGACGUCUCACGAGACCAAGCUAGGAGUGACGCGAAGCCGACACGGGGCGGCAGUCUGAACGAUGAGGCGCCACCAUCCGCUCGACAACUCACAUGUGCCAUCACGAGGUAGCCAAGACAACCGCGAUGAGCAACCACCAAGGGGUGGGGGAAAGGGCACCUCCUUCCACUCCCAGCCUGGCAUUAGCCACCAAGUCACGACGGUCUGGCAAUGAAGCACCAAUACAUGCUUCCCCAUCAAGUCCCAGUGGACUAGAGGAACGACUUAGUGACUAUCGACAGCCAUCGACAAGCAAGCCCUGACCAUAGCCCUCUUGCCUAGGCCUAGGCAAGCCCGCACGACGGCACACCUGUGGUCUUCGCGAUGAUCCGCCCAACGGUGCCAUAGCUACUCCUGGAUACGCCUUGCCCACCACCACCGCUCGCGCAGCUCUUAGCCCACGACGGCCAUUGUCGUUGAACGCCCAAUUUUGGGGAAACCCGCAUCACCGACAUGACCACUGCCCACGCGCACCACCCUCAUGCCAAUACGCUACCAUCGCCAGCCACCACCACCCGCGCGGACCACCCCCUGCCAAUAUGCUACCAUCGCCAGCCACCACUAGCAUCGCCAGCCACCUCACGAGACGCAAACUGCGGCCAACAAGGGAAUGGGACGGGGCCGAGACCGGCGGUGGCUAGGGUUAGCCCCUCGUCGCUCGGGCGAGGGGGGGGGGGGUGUUCUGGCUCUGUGUCAGUCCCGACCUAUUACGUCUAACAAACACCACUACUUUAUGAUACUUUUCCCUGCAAGAGGUCUCCCGUUGACGACCACACUUAAUUUUGUCAAGUUGAUAGACCUCGCUAAUUCAGCCAUACAUAGAAAUGACUGCUUUUUUUGAGAGAGAAAGCCGUCAUAGCGAUUUAUAUUUCAUACGCAAAAAUCGAUAUAUCGUUUGUUAAAGAUGACUGUUUUCUAGUAUGUGGCUAGUUGUCAUUCAUUUUAUGCUUUUCACAUGAUGUCAGGGAUCAUAUCACACGUGUAACACGUGCCGAGUUGAUUAAUUGGGAAGAUCCAACUCCUCCUCCUCAUCUAAUAAUUACGAAUAGCAGUCGCUGUGUAAAUAAUGGACCGUGUCAAGCCGGCACAAGAAAACACAGAGAGUAACUUUUUGCUUGCGAGGAGGAUAACUGCACCUGGUUUUGUGCUUCGUGUUGGCAACCCAUCCAACUGAUCACACCAGCAACAGCAAAGCCCCAAAGCUGGACACGUCGGCGAUAUACUAGGGCCGCGUUGGGUAGUCAUCCGCGGAGCGGAGCGCGCGGAGCAGGCUUCAAGCGACUCCGCAAAUUAUAGCUUUAAUCAGCUGGAUUGCCGCUCCGCUCCGGCCUAGCUUACCUGUGCUUGAGAUGAGGUAAACAGAGAGCCUUUUUCUAAAAUUUGCAUCGUGAACCGUUUAACUUGGUAAAACUCUGUCUAACUGAAGAAACUAAUGUUUCACCAGCGUGGGACGCAGUAACAUCGAGAUGAUGGGAGAGUAAAUCAUCAGCCCCUGCGUACAGCGCUCUGCCUUUUUGCCAAGUUGCGACUUCACCGUCCAGUGGCCGGCCGUGUUUUGACUUUGAGGUUAACUUGUGGAGGAGAAGUGUGUGCUGAUAUGCUUGCCAUUUUGUUACGUUUGCUCGACAGCCGACAGGGUAAAUAUAAAACAAGCCAACCAAGCUUCCUCUGCACGAACUCCCUUGAUGCGCAACAGAAAGUGCAGCAACCCGAUCGAUCGAGAUAGUCUUAAAUUUGAUCGCUUUCGGUGUUGCAUCUGCGGAGAUCCCUGAAAAGAGCUGUGAAACGAACCCUGAUCGAACACGAUGGACUGAUGGUAGCACGGGACAGAGACCUGUCGCUCGAUGUGAACUUCUCUACUACUGCAUACAGUGUCCGAGACGGCAUCUGUCUUAACUGAGUGAUCGCUGGGUUCAUUCCCAGAGCAGCACGGUUCUUUCCGUUCAGGACGCAUUCGCCAUGGACGCCCAGGAAGGAUCAUGCUUGGCUCCAGAGCUGUCUACUGAUGGAUGGCCUGGCCUGGCCGGACACAUCUCCAGCCUCUUUUCGCCUGGACCGCUCGUGUCAGGACAUGUAGACAUGGUGACAUAGCUCAGCUUUGGUCACUUCAGAUGCGUCUCACUCACUCUGAUCAACUCAUGUUCUUUCACCUCCUUCUUUCUUUGGGAUGAACUGUCAGUGUCGACAUAACUUCCUUCUUUGAGAAACUGAAGACAAAGUCUUGUGAUCAGCUCCCUUUGGCCUUGCGGUGCGAGGUCAGCUGAGUGCAAGAUGACGGCUCUAUCGAUGGAGUGAAUUUUGAGCAGUGAAUCCAGGCAUGCGUUGGCAUCAUCACGUCUGAUUACUGUGCCUGAUGAAAACAAAGAUUGAUCACCGUGGGGCCUCGGAAGGUUGGAUGAUGAGUUGAAUCAAGUUAAUGCAGGUCGGUAGCUGACAUGUUCGUCUCCUCCUCGAUCCUUCUCCGCCUCAUCCAAUCCAGCAGCAACACCACGAGAAACUGAAACAAAUCACACUGAAAACGACGGCACGUGGAAAUAAAUACCGAAUUAAUCGGCAAUGUUCAUGAUGCAAAAAUCAAUCCCUUUCCGACUUUUUUUCUGAUUUGUUUUCCACCUCAUCUUUUACAAUAAUAAUCCGAUCAACAGGGUAACCGGUGAAUGCAUGAAAAUGUAGGUUCUGAUUUUUAACAACAGUUUGCAUGAAAUGUGCACCGCCAUCUGUUAAUAAAAGUUCCUCGCAUGUUGUUCAACCUUGUAAAACAAAUCUCGAUGGUUCUUCCCAUUUGGUCGUGGUUGCUUUUGUCGUGUCGCGGCGCCCGUGCACCAAUAUACUUUCUCCGUAUCAAAAUAUAAGAUGUUUUUGCAGUUUAAAAUUAAACUGCAGCGUGCAUUUUGUAGCACUCCUUUUCCCACAGGUGCAUAGCCAUCUGUAAGAUAGAUACCACAAUAUGAUUGACACCGAUCAAGAUAAGAAAACGAAGAAACAGGGGACGGUGCAGAGACAAUCAGAUUGAUGCUGUCUUCAUUUAUUUGCCACAGAUGAUGCCUCCCUGCAAUCAGCACGUUUAUGCCAAGCUAUCAGUGUGUUGCUCUGCAAGACUAAAACUUCAGCGUCACCAUAAUUACCGCUCUAAUAAUGGUUGGAUGUUGCCAGGUUUUUAUAGGACUACGAAAUAAUCCUAAGAAACAAGUCCCUCCAAUCAGACAACCCAUUCAGAGGAAAAGAAAACUUAAAAUUAAGAAACGUGCCCAUGUGUUUUUUUGUUGUCUUUUUACUAAGAACAUGGCCCAAUUAAAAAAAAAACCAUUCCUCUCCAAACCCUGCGCACCAUGUUGCCACCUCUAUGUAGUUUGCUCCUUCGACUUUGUCUUCAUCAUAUCGAUGUAGCCUUUGGUGCUUGCGUGAAGCAUGUCUCAAAUAAUGGAGGUUUGGCUCUUAAAUUUUCAGCUCUUCCGGUAGUGAUGGUUUCUUCUACGGGGCGCUGGUUCGGCAGGACUGUCGCCUACUCGCCCUAAUGACUUCCCGUCCACGAUCAAUACGGUGGUGCACCAUCUUUUCGUUGUGUAUAGGAUGAAGUCGGUCGAACCCUGGGAUUUUAACAUAACCUUUUUUAUUAUUACUAGCAAAAGGGCCCGUGCGUUGCAACGGAAGAGAAAACAUAACACACACUCUUAACCCAACAACCAUCACUCAAGACCAUAAUAGGUUCAUCUCUUUUAUUUUUGCGAGGCAUCAUAUUUGUGUUGCCGCUUAUUCUCCUUCUCACCCUCGCCGGCGAUGGCCUCGGUGUUCAUACAAAACAAAACAAAAAUGUGUUUGAAUAUGGUUAAGGCGUCUCUCUCUCUCUCACUCUCGCGAUGAGAAAUCUGUCGUUUUCCCCUAUGACAUUUUUCCGAGGUAUGCAUGUGUAGUUAUCGAUGUUUACUUUUCCUUAUAUUGUUAUAGUGGGCUUUUUAUUUCCAAUCCGGAUCAUCGCCGGUACGAAAGGAAAACGGAUCUUACGCUAUAAAUUAUAAGUUUGCUCCCAAAACCAUAUUUUAAAAAUAUUUAACAGGUAAAUUAACAUCAUAUUUAGAUUUCACACAUUUUUUCUAAUAAAAUUUUAUAUAUAAUAUGUUAAAAUCGAAGUUACGGUUUAAAAGAUAUGGAUAAUUUAGAAAAUCACUUGUUUGACUUAAAUAUAUUUCAAAAUAAUAUUUAAAAAUACUUAACAGGUAAAAAUAAUCUCAUAUUCAUAUUUUACAUGUUUUUUAAUCAAAUUUCAUAUAUAACAUAUUCAAAUCGGAGUUACCGUUUAAAAGAUAUGGAUGAUUUAAAAAAACAUUGUUUGACUUAAAUAUGAUCCGUGGAUGAAUUACCUAAAACAUCAGGGGUUUUAAAAAAAUAUAAAUAACGGUUCGGUUGUGACUUAAAUCCGGACUGCAGGUUGAUUUCAAAAAAACAUAGAGACUUUUGUGUAUAAUAUGAAAAACGUUUCGUUUUAACUUAAAACAGGACCGCCGGUUGAUUUCACUGAAAUAAAGGAACUUUUCUGAAAAAUGUCAUGACGAAAGAAAGAAAUCUAAUUUGCUUCAUUAUUAAGUAAAGAGGUAAAGAUAAAGAUUUACAUGGGCAUUUGCACUGCUAUUUUUAAUAGAUUUGAGAGCUUUCCCAAAGAAAACAAUCUUAUAAAAUAUCACAAAAUACUGUUUGAAACAAGAAGACAAAUGUAAACCGAGCGUAGCUCAGAUGAUUAGAAUCCUUGUAGUGGAACCAAUCCACUAAGAUUUAUGUCCUAAACUUGACACCGAUGCUCACUUUUUUCUGAAUUUGUUUUAGAUUUUCCAACUAUAUUCGUUGAGUGGGAGGAGACGUUCUUGUCGACUACAAAACGUCGGUGGUGACUUCGUAAAUCUCAAGUCUCGAUGGUACGAAUAGCGUAGUCGGAGGAUGUGUGGAGGUGUGUCUCUGUCGGAUCUCAUGGGAUUUGGUCGGUGCUGAUCUUCGGUGAAUCUAUCCGGAUCCAGUUUUUGUUCGUCCUCGUUCAUGUGGUUCCAGGUUUGAUCUUUCCGAUCUACAACUCUUUUCAUCGGUGAUGAUUGCUGCUUUGGUGCGCUAGUCCUUUGGGACCUUAGCAUGACGACUUUCCGACUGUUUACUACAAUAAGGUUUGCCCGUCUCCGGAGAUGAAGGGGUGAUGACGGCGGCACGCCUUCGGCUCGCUCCAGUGUGCUUGUAGUCGUCGCUAGGAGGUCCAUAGAUUUGGUUGUAAUUUUUAUUACCUCUUGUGUUCUCUGUACUACCAUGAUUGAUGAAUAGAUUAAAAAAUUUCUCUUGACAAAAAAAGUAUACGCUGUUAAAAGAACACGAACACGAACAACAAGACAAGUGAUAGAAUCCACUGCACAGACACGUGCACGGCCCACCCGAAUCAGGCACCGUCUCAAACUAGUCGGGGCCUCGGGGGUAAAAUCAGGCCCACUCCCUCCUCGCUCGAAAAAUCCAACUCGCUCGAAUCGAAACCUAGGGUUAGGAUUCGCCGAGCCGCCGUCUCGCCGUCGGCGCCAUGUACAACGGCAUCGGGCUGCAGAGCGCGCGCGGGUCCGGCACGAAUGGGCACGUCCAGACGAACAAGUUCUUCAUCCAGCCCCGGACCGGCGGCCCGCCGCCCAAAGCGCCGCUCCACAGCCACGACGACGGCGCCGGUGGGAUGCGGAAGCCGAACAAGGAGAUCCUGGAGCACGACCGGAGGCGGCAGGUGGAGCUGCGGCUGGUCGAGCUGAGGGACGCCCUCGAGGAGCAGGGCUACACGGAAGCCGAGAUCGAGGAGCGCCUCGAGGAGGCGCGCAAGCAAGCCGAACUGGAGGCUGCCGGCGGCGGCGCCGCGGGUGCAGCACCGCGUCCAGGCGAAGGGUAUGGAUCUAAGAAUUGCUCAUAUACCAGUUUUGUAAUGUGAAACUGUUGGAUAAGGAGGCCAGUGACAGAUUUUUGACAAAUACAUUCAUGUGCAAGUUUUGAAUCUGAUCUCUUCAUUUGCUGUUGGAGGAUAUUCACAUUGAAAACAUAAUUGUUUCCUGAAUUUUGGCUCAGUAUCACAAUUUAUAGCUUAUGCUGUUCGUAGUGAAGAAGCAUAAUCUUGGUUUCCUGUAUUGUUAUUUUACAGUUCAUGUGUGCAGUUUAUCUUCUGUUAGGUAGAUUGGCAAUAGUUUCUGACAAGAAGGUAAACUCUUCUCAGGUUCACGGGCACGCAGAGCCACCAUGUCGCAGCACGCAAGGAGAAGAAGCUCGAGGCGAUGAGGGCUGCUCUUGGGCUAGAUGAUGAGGUUGGACAGAAGAAGAGUUCUCAAGUAGACAGUGAUCCGGAGUCUGGGGAGCUUGUACCUGGGAAGGCUGGAUUCUGAAGAGUAUGUUGGACAUUGAUGUUCAGAACGACAGGAAGGCUUUCAAGUUUCAAGGAUGGUAAAAAGCAUAGAGAAGGAAAAAAGGGAAUGACAACAGCACAAGUUCUAGGAAGAGUGAGCAUGGGUAUGAUUCAGAAGAUGAUUCUGAGACUGGCCAUGAUGAUGAGAAAAGGGGGAAAGAAACACAUGAAGAAAUCCUUCUUAGAUGGAGAUGUUGAUCCUGUGAUUGUUCAUAAGAAGGCAACUAUGUAAGCUAUGUAUAUCUAACCAGUGCUUUUAAUUGUUGGAGAUGAACCUUGCUAAAACUUGGCUUGAUGCUCAUUUCAGAAGGGUGUGUUUUGCCUUUUGCUGUCGGGAAAUUUGAUCAUUUGCCAGGGACUUAUCAUUUGCAACCCUUUACUUGGGAUUACUUGAUUAGCCCCCAUUUUACCUGGAAUUGUUGAUCAUUUGCCCUAUUCAUCAAUUUACUGAUUACUUAAUUUUUUAAUCCACAUAGUACAUUUGGCACCUUUUGCAAUUCCUCCCCGCUCGUAUCUAUUUGCUGCAGAUGAUGCACAGAUAUCAUGAUAUGAUUGACAGAGACCAAGAGGACGGUGCGGAUUGAUGUUAUCUUCAUUUAUAUUUGUGACAGUGCCUCCUUGCAACCAGCACGUUUAUGCAAGCUAUCAGCGUGUUGCUCUGAAAGCCUGAAACUUCGGCGUCACCAUAAUUACUGCUCUAAUAAUGCUUGGUUGCCGUCAGCGUAGUCUAGGGACCAAUCAGUGUAUCCCAAUUAUCAGCUACCAAAAUGAUAUACAUCAUGUAUAUAUCUAGUUUCAGGUAACAAGCAUAGAUGAAUUACUGUGUGAUUGGAAUUCUGUACUCAGUAUUUGACAUGCCAAUAACAAAGAGGUUUACAGAUAUCGCACCUGUUUCUGUUCUCUCUUCCAACUAGCAGUACUAAACUAUUAAAUCUGCUUAAGUGCAUGAUUCUUCUCAGUUAUUUUGCCCAAGCUCGCAGACUGAAUACUCCAUUUCCAAGUGUUGGUUUACAAGGUUGCAUGGGCAGAAGCCAAAGUGCAGAAAUAGACAGAAAAUGAAUCUUCCAUUUGCAACGCUGAUUCAAUGUUGAUACAAAGAUCAGAUAACAUUAAAGAGGGGCCAUGUCUGCAGAGCGACUCCAAUGACUACAGAAAGGAUUGUUCAAACAGACGGGAAAAAAGAGAGAAUAUUACAUGCGACCCUGGAAAUAUCAACAGGAAAAUUCAG